UGUGAAGGUCUUUUGAACCACUCUAAAGGAUUGCAAAUGUUUAAGUGUGAAGAAUGAGUCCUUACACUCCAAACCCUGUCGCGCCCCAUUUUUCUCACGGAAAGAGGGAUUCGAGGUGACCACUCUUUUUGGGAUUAUUUGAAGAGAGAGUGUAAAGAGUCAUCACCUAAUGAAUUAAGGUGCGUUAAGGCACCGGUCUAGGCUACUACAAACCUAUUUUGUUAUUCUGUCUUAGUUCACCAGAGAUUCAGGUUAGCUUUCAAAUUACCUCAAAAGAAAGGUGUUAGGCACCUUUCGAGAUCCACAAAGGUAGUUUCCGACCGAAUUCGUACUUUAUGUGGGGAUUCUAUGUGGUCAAAUAAAGAUCUCAUGUUUAUUAACUUAAAUACUAAGUGAUAAAGUAAUUAAUAAGCAAACAUGUCAUUUUAUCAUUUCUACUUGUUAAUUAUCUAAGUGGUAAAAGUCAAUAAAAUAUGUAAAUAAGACAAGUGAGAAAGAACUAAAAACAAUUAUAACAAAGGGGACUGCUUAUGUAACUAACUACCCCGAAUAAACAUUUAAAAGAAUAAAUUCAAAAGAACAAACAAAGGAACGUUUUGAUUUCAUUCGAAACAGAAUCCCAUCUUAUUUAAUCAUUAUCCGACCCACUGGCCGAACUCAUAGAUAAGUCAUAUGUCUUACCUAUAUAUGUUGGAGAUCAUUAUUUUCAAAUGACUACCCGUCCCACCCCGCCUAAGCUAGUUGUCAAAUCUAAAGGAGUUCUAGGAUAAGAAAACUAAUGUCUUUAGUAAUACUUAUCGUCCCACCUAUCGCACAAGAGGCAUUUGACUUUGCUAUUUUAAUUUUGUGGUCUAGACAAAAUAAAACUAUGUUGCCUAGGACUCAAAACGUGUAACAAGUUGGACGUCACGUAGCACAUAAUUGUCCCAAAUUAACCUCUUGGUUGGCUAAAGUUGAUUAAUGGAUUAGACAAAUAAUUACUUAUUUUUUGUUUUGUUUAAUUAACCUAUAGGCAUGGUAUCUAAGUGUUCAACAAUUGCUUAAUAUGACAAAAGAUAACUAUGAUUCAUGUCAAAAGUAAUGUUAUAAAAUUGUUAAAAGGACAAGUCGAAGUGAUGUGAUAGAAUAAGAAAGCUAAUGUAAGCAUAAUAUCUAAGUGAAAAGUAAUUGUUAAUUGAUGAAAAAUAACUGUCAAGUCAUUCAAAAAAAUAGUGUUGUAAAGUUGAUAAACAAAAUAUGUCAAAAUAAAGUAAUUACGUUGGGGGAGGGAUACCCAUUGAUUUUGUAAUGCGAAAUAAGUAAUAAAUUAGUAAAGUAUUAGGCAUUAAUUUUAAAAUGCUAAGAAACAUAUUCACUUGCCGAAAAAUAAAUAACAUGUGGAAAAACUAAACAACUAGGCACAAAACAUUGCUGAAAAUACAUUUCAAUAUACUGAAAAUUCAUUUUUUGUAUAUUUAAUAUGCUAGGAAAAUUAACUUAACAUGCUGAAAACUAUUACUAUAUGCUGAAAAAUGAUAUUAACGUGCUAGAAAUUAAUAUUAUAUGCUGAAAAACACAUAAAGAAGCAAAUAAAAAUGCUGAAAAUUGAUUUUACAUUUUUAUGAGUUAAAUUAGUAUGCCCAAAAUAAUUGUCAUGUCGAAAGUCUAUUGACAGCCUUAAAAAUAUGAUUUUCAAGUGGUAAAACAAGUGUAUUAUUAAUAAUAAGAAUUUGCUUAAGUGGUUCACAUAAUCAUAUAAAAGCACAUAAAAACAUAAACCUAAGUUACGUAGCCUACGGGAUUCAUGGAGCACAUAGAUCCCCGCCCCCCGAGCAGUCCCCAAUUUUAUUAUUACCUCAAAAGGUUUACAAAAAUUAUUACAACACAAUGAAUUAAAAAAAAUAAUUAAAUAAAGGAAAAAGAAUGGACAACCCCUUUCCCAAUAUCCCAGCGACUCUUCAAAUUCCCGAAAUUAUCUAUUUACACCGGCGAGACAAUAUGUAAUAGCAAUACAAGCAAGAACAUAACAUAACACGGACGUAGCAAGCAAACACCGAAAAUUUCGAUAGACAUGUUUACUAGCAUCAUUAUAUAAGGCAUAAAGGAAAUUAUGUCGACAGGACCUUAUCGGUUGAUGAAAACAAAUAAUAAUAAGAAUAAGAAAGCCAAGCAGCACAGGAUCCAUAUACGAAUUACCGCAGACAAGUCGAGACUACUGCUCCAAAAUAAGUACGAAAAAGGUAAUGAAAGUGAAAUUGUUUAAAAGUUUUCGUUUGAGGUACUGUAGAUUGUAAGUUCUUUAAGAGAAAAGGAAUAUUAAUAUUUGUCUUUUUGUAUAUGAGAGAGUAGAGAGGAUUAGAAGUUGUCCCUAAACACUGAAAAAGAUUGUUUAAAUAGUAGAAAAUGACUAUAAUAAUCAAGGCAACAAAUUAUAUCUUUUAUCACAAAAUCAAUCAUACUACGACAAUUAAGGUAAAAAAAACAUAUCCUCUAUCACAAAGUCAAUCAUGACAUUAAAGAGAGGAAGGAAAUUGUCAAUCACAUGGCAAAUCAAAUCAAUCAGAUUGAGGAUGGAUUAAUGUUUACCAUAAAUCAAUUAGGAGCAACCCUCUAAUUGAAAUCAAAUCUACAUGCUUAAAGGGAUCAAUCAACCAAAUUAAAUUUCCGAAAUCAAAGUUAUGAGAGUAGGCAAUGAAAUUGCAUGUAUAGGGGAAAUCAGCCAAGGACAUACGUAUUCCUCCAUAAAGAAUAACAGAUUGUCGUAUAGUCCAUAAUUAAUUGUUAUCACUAAAAAUUAGUAAAAUAACUAGUCCAAAUUUCAAAGAGUGAGAAAAGGAAGUAUCAAGCAACGUAUUCCAAAUCAUACCAAACAAAAUGUUAAUUUCACAUCUCACAGAAAAACCGUUUAAGGAAGAUGACAAACAAGCAGAGUAAAACAAACAGUAAAUGCACACGGAUAUCAACAAAAGAACCUUGAACUCACAUGGGAAAGGAUAGGAGAAGAUUAAAUGUAAAGCUUAACAAUAACAAAAAAUAAAACACAAUAAUUCGGUGAAGGAAGCGGCUGUUGGUGUUGUUGUUUUCGCCAUUUGGACCAACCGGUUGGUGGAGAGGAGAACCGGCGGGCGGCGAUGAGAAGCAAGACGCGGCGACGAUAAGUUCGCUAGAGGAAGAAGAGAACGGUGAUCAUGGCCAUGGUUGGUUGCUUACGACCGCGACAGGGAGGGAGAACGAAAGGAUGAAGGACGCCGGCGGUGGUGGCGGUGCUGGUCGCUGGUUCGGCCGAUUUUUGCCGAAGUGGGUUGUUCGUCAUUCAUCAGCGGCUGAUCUUGGGGGAGGGUGAGGCUGGUUUGGCAGCCGUUGAUUGCGGCGGCUGGUGUUGAUUUGGGUGACGGGACGGCGACAAUCGCCGAUUGAGAGAGAGAGCGCCAAGAGAGAAGAAAGAGGGUAGAGAGUUGUGCGGCUGUUUGUGAGUGGGAAAAUGGAAAUUAGGGUUUUGUUUUGUUUAAAAGAGAAGAGGACAAUGAUUUGAUCACAAUCGUUAGAUCAAUUUUGAUCAACGAUUGUGAUUAAAAUUAUUUUAAAAAAACAUGAAAUAAUAUCAAUUUGAGUUAAAAUUGACAUUGAUUGAGUAAAAAAUGGCUAGAACUUAAAUAAAUUAAAAAAAAAAACAAAUUAAAUAAGGUUGUCAUUUUAAUAAUAAUGAUAAGGGCGUAAUAGCAAAAAAUGAUAAGAUGUGAAUAUUAAAAUAGUCAUGCAUGUAAAAUUAAUGUUAUGUAAAAUUACUAUACAAAAUUUUCAAUAAUAAUAAUAAUAAUAGACAAUACAUUUGUAAAUUGUGAGUGUGUAUAUUUAUGAGAAAAAAUAAUUUAAUAAAAUUAUGUAAAAUAUCGUGUUUGAAUUAAUAAAUUAUAAACAAUGGUAAUAAAAUAAUUUGUAUAGUUUUUAAAUCAUAAAUGUGACAUGUCAAUAUCUGUUCGAUACGAAAAUAAUGUGUAAAAAAUGCUAACAUUUGAAAUUAAUAAUUUUGCUAAAAUAGCAGCCUAAAAGGAGUAUCGGACGAUCAAAAUUGGGUGUCAACUAGACCGCCCCUCAUUAAGGAGGUUUUGGUCAUUGUCACAAGUUGAAGAGAGAAGAAGGAGCCUUACACUCCAUGGCCGCCCCUUAUUAAGGGUGUGUUGGUCAUUUUAUUUUGUAUUAGGCUAUAAAUAGACUAUUGUUAUGCUUAUUUCCUUUCCAUAGUUGAUUUUUGAUAUUGAAAAAACAUUAAAAGACUUUUCUCUUGUGGGAGUGUAAUUAGGGCAAGUGUGGAAUCACUUGUAUUGAACUUUGGCUUAGAAACAGGGGUUCUUGAGGUGAAGUGAUUGUCCUCUUAGGUUCACGUAAGAGCUUGGUGUUUGUUUCUUUGAGUCUUAGGGGCCUUAAGGUUUGAUACACCCUUAGGUUUUUAUUGCUUGUGGAUUCUUAUGUCAAGUUACCUAUCUUUACUUAUUGCAUUUGUUUGAGUGUGUUUCUUGUUAUUGUGUUCUCCGCUUUGUCUUGUUUCUGUAGUGUAGUUUUCAUCUCAUUUUCUUCUUUCUUAGUUAGAUCUAUAUCAUUGACUCAGAAGAUGUUAUCCACGUGCUUAGAAAGGAAAAUCCUCUAUUUAACCCUAUCAUUAAUAAUUGAAGGUUAGUGAUAAGCGGGUUAGGAGGACCUCCUGUUCACCAUAGCUACAGGGAACAGAAUCGAGUAGCCGAUGCCUUAGCAAAGGAAGGAGCCAAACAGACCCUUUUGGAAAACUGUAGAAUUUUUGUGGCACCCCCAUCUUUUAUAACACAUGUAGUCUGAGAUGAUAUGAGUAAGAAAAGAUAUUGUAGGACUAUAUCUAAAGGAUAAAUUACACAAAUCUCAUACUUAAGAGACUAUAUUACCUAAUAUCCCUUAAUUUUUUAAAAUUUACAUAAAAUUUCAUUUUUCAACUUUACUCUUGAUACGUAUUAAGAAAACCCACGUCCUAUUUUUACUCCAUCAUUAACUCAUUCAAGAUUUCCUUCCUUAAAAUAUCUCCCUAAUUAUCAACAAUUAAAUCCUCCUUCCUAAUUUUUUCUCUUCCAUUAAUGCUUAAAUCAUCUUCCUUCCUGAUUUUUUUCCCUCCAUUAAUGCAUGCAACUUUUUUUUCCUCUCCUAAAAUCUCUCCCUUUUUUAAAAGAAAUCUAUUGAUACAUAUAUAAAUUUAUUUAGUUAUUCAUACAUGUUUAUUUUUUUAACGGUUAUUCACAUGAAUAAUAAAUAUGAUAUCAUUGUAUGGGUAUUAUGGUGAUUCAUACGAUAGAUACAUUUUGUAUGAUGGUGAUUCAUAUGUUAGAUACAAUUAUUGGGUGAUUCAUAUGAUAUUAAUAGGUGAUAUAUAUGGUAUUAUGGUGAUUCAUAUAUAUGAUAGAUAUAAUUAUUUAUUUCAAUUAUUGGGUGAUUCAUAUAUAUGGUAUGAUGGAGAUUCGUAGGGUAGAUACAACUAUUGGGUGAUUCAUAUGAUAUUAAUGGGUGAUAUAUAUGGUAUUAUGGUGAUUCAUAUGGUAGAUACAAUUAUUUAUUUUAAUUUUUGGGUGAUUCAUAUGUUAUUAAUGAAAGAUAAUUGUGUAGUCAGUGUAGGAAACAAAAGUAAUAAUAUUUUUUUUAAAAAAAGGACUAAAAGCAGAAUUGAAACAUAAUUAAAAUUAAAUCUAAAAAAACAGACUAAAAUUAAAGAUGAAAUUAAAGACGAAAAAAGAGAAAAAAGACCAAAAAAAACAUAUCUUUCAUAAUUAAAGACGAAAAAGAGAAACAUAAUUAAAACACCUAAAUUAAAUCUAAAAUGGAGAAAAAUUAGAUAUCUUUCCUUGAAUAAAAAAAUACAAUGAAUAAAAGAGAAUCUAUUGUUUCCUUAAAUAAAUAUCUUGUUAGUUUCAAAUGUAUCACUUUUUUAUAUGUAUCACCAUAUAAUAUAUGUAUCACCAUUUCAAAAAAUUGGGAUAAAAUAUAAUUAACAAAAUAAUCGAAAUUUUAUAUAAUAUCACUUAAAGAUUCAGGGAUUUAUUUAAGUUAUUCAUAUCUAAAACUCAAAUGACUGGGCAUAGCACACCUGUUUUUGUUCUGGAGCCUGGCUAAGCUCAUUCCAUGUAUUAUAGAGUAACGUAUUUUAUUUUAAUGCAUUAUCUGGUUUACCCAAAAAAAAAAAAAAGAGAUUACAACAAAGAUUCCACUAUAUCAAUUAAGGAAUUCCCAGGUCAAGUCAACUUUUCAACCAAAGUACCUACAAUUUUAGAAUUUACUAAGCAGUGAUAACCAUUUUUUUUCCUUCUUGGGUGUGUUUGGUAUGAUGGAAAAUAUUUUUCUAUUUUCCCAUGUUUUGUUGAAAUAAAGUGUUGGGAAAAUAUUUUCUAAAGUCACUUAUUUUUUUUCAUAUGAUGGAAAAUGACUUUCCUGACUUGUCAAGGGAAGUCAUUUUCUAGAAAAAAAUUGUGCCGCGAGUUCCCUCCAUUCCCACCCCUCUCCCCCACCCCAAUAACACUCGGCUUCCUUUGUCCCAAAUUUAGAAGUGUCUUCACUGUCACUACUCACCCAAUUUUAGGGUUCUAAUCUCUCUUCUCUCCACUGCGAUUUUUGUAAGAAUCUCAAGGUAUGUUUCCUCCAUUCCCACCCCUCUCCCCCACCCCAACAACACUCGGCUUCCUUUGUCCCAAAUUUAGAAGUGUCUUCACUGUCACUACUCACCCAAUUUUAGGGUUCUAAUCUCUCUUCUCUCCACCGCGAUUUUUGUAAGAAUCUUAAGGUAUGUUUCAUAAUUAAUUUCUUCUACCAUUUUGGUCAAUUUUUCUCUUCUCUUCACUGCGAUUUUUGCAAGAAUCUCAAUGUAUGUUUCAUAAUUAUUUUCUUCUACAAUUUUGGUCAAAAUUUUCUCCAAAAAUCUCUUCUUUUGCUUGUUUGGGUUAAUGAUUUGAGUUUAUUUUUGUUUUAAAAAUAAAAAUUGGGUUUAAUUUUCAAAUAAGAUGAACAUACUGCAGUUAGUUAGAGUAGUAGCAUUAGCAACUGAUAAUGAUGGUAAAGGAGAUUAUCUUUUUGUGACGUGAAAGUGAGCUAUCAACUUGAUUAACAAAGGAUAUUUUCUUAUUUUCUAAUUUGUUUUACCUGGUUCUGGUUUCUUUUCUGAAAUUCUUAUUGGUAGUUCUAUUAUAAUUGAAAAGUGAACUUAGUUUCUUAAAGUUCUUUCAAACUGAAGAGUUAUAUGGAUUACACAAUAGAUUCCCACGAACUAUAGAGCCCCAGGAAUUAGUUCUUCAGCCCCGACACUUCUCUCUUAAACAUAGAGCUACAUCUAAGCAAACUGAAAAGCCUUCAUGUGUUAUUGGGAGCUAAAUUUCUUCUAAGUAGUACCAGUACUUUGAGAAUCGGAGAAUUGGAUGAACUACAUAACUUGUAUGGAUCUCUAUCUAUUCUAGAGUUGCAUAAUGUGGUUGAUAGAAAGGAAGCUUUGAAGGCAAACGUGAGGAAGAAAAAAUACGCUGAGAUGUUAUCAUUGGAAUGGAGUGUAAGUACUGCCGACAACUCACAAAAUGAAAGAGAAAUACAUGUUGAGGUACAACCAAAUUUAAACAUAAAAGAACUCUAUGGUAAUUCGUUGCACUUUAACUCUCUUGAGAAGCUUGAAUUUUCAGAGAUGCCGAAGUGAAAGUAGUGGCAUGUACUAGGAAAUGGAGAAUUGCCUGCACUUGAUGACCUUACGAUUGAAUAUUGCCCCAAGUUGAUUAGAAAGUUGCUUAAAAAUCUUUGUCGUCUGACAAGCUUGACAAUUUUAGGAUGCCCUGAACUCAUUUUAGAGACACCUAUCCAACUUUCAAAUUUCAAAUUUCUGGCGGAAAUAACUUAUUUUUGGAGAGAUUGUUACAAGAUUAAUCUGAUUCUAUAUCAUCUGAGUUUGAGUUAGUCCCGAGAGCACGUGAUUUAAGAGUAGAUGAUUGCCAAAGCCUCGUUAGUCUUUUGAUUUUCGUUGGUACUAUUUUUGUCAGAAUUUUUGGAUGUGGAAAUCUGGAAAUACUUUCAGUGGCAUGGGUGACUCCGAUGAUGGCAUUGUGUGGUUUGAGUAUUGGCAACUGUAAGCAACUGAAGUCGCUGCCAGAAAAGAUGCAGGAACUCCUUCCAUCUCUUAAUGAACUAUACCUGACUUAUUGUCCCGAAAUAUAGUCCUUUCAUGAAGGAGGAUUGCCCUUCAAUUUACAAGUCCUUGGGAUCUACUAUUGCUGGACACUAGUGAAGGGACAAAAUAAGUGGCAUUUACAAAGAUUCCCAUGUCUCAGAGAGCCAAAUAUCUUUCAUGAUGAAAGUAACGAGGAGAUUCUUGAUAAUGAGAAUUGGAAACUGCCAUGCUCUAUUCAAAGUCUUCGUAUAUCCAAACUGAAAAUGUUAAGUAGUCAGUUAGUGAGUCAUACUCGUCAAGUUGAUAGUUUAGUAAGUGAGAUACCAAUAUUGAUUCCUAGGUUAGCUGGUGCGAAUGGAAAAAUGUUAGGAGUUUAAUUGAUCAUUUAACAACUGUGGCAGUAUGAAAAAUUGCUCGGACACAACGGUUAUAAAAAUUCUCUUUUUAUUUUAGUUUUUAUAACCGUUGUGUCCAAGCCAUCUUGUGCACACCUCGACAUAAUCGUUCUUUUUUUCCUCGGGAAUAAAAUAAAUGAAGUGUUAUAUAGAAUGGAACAGAUGAAAUAUUUAUUUUCAUGUUGGACCUUACUCUCGUCUGUCAGCUUUUAUUUGUGGCUUCAGAUUUUUAUUCCAAUUAGUAUUAGAGUUGUUGUUCUAUUAAGAUUGUUGCUUCCUGUUAUGUUAUUUUGGGUGUUAAAGUUGAUCCGUGGAUGUUGUCACAAGGUCUCGAGAUCCUCCUCCUCAACACGAUAGAAGAGGUAGAACCAUAGAAGCUCAAUAAAAAAAGAAUUCUUGUGAACAAAAUACACAACCUACAGGAAGAGUACCUAUAGAUAAAAUAAUAUUUAGUCAAACUUAGUUGUAUCUGUAGAUAAAUACAAAAGUCAUAAGUAAAUGUGUCAUGAAUUAAAAAUUGAAUUAGAAGAGUACCUAGAUUAAACUUGGAAUCAUUACGCAACAUCCCAGUGAAAGGAAGUUGGUUUUCCAUUUUUGCACUAUAACUUGAUUGCAAAUGAAUGCAUCUAAAGUAAUCUCUAUUUUAAAUAUUACAUCUAUCUUUAUCUCUUCAUAUCUUUAUUUAUCUAAUGUAAUUUCUAUUUUAAAUACUAACUCCAUCUAGCUUUAUAUAUUCAUAUUUGACGCGUUACACUCUUAUUAAGUUUUAGUGAUCAAUGUUACACUCUUCAUAUCUCUUGUUGUUUAAAUUGAAGGAAUAAAGUUAAACAACUAUUUUUAAUAUUCUCAAUAAAAUUGGACAGAGGAAUUAUCUUUCUGUUUUGUUGGGAUUUGACCUCCUAUGUUUGAUGCAACAAAGACGGAACAAUGUGAAUAAGUAAUUGACGGAUGGAUUAUGAGCAAGGAAUGUUUAUUUAUUUGUGCUAAAGAUGAUAGAUUAAAUUCAUUAAAUGAAAGUAUAUGUUUAAUUUAGCUAGUGAAUCAUUUCCAAUGCUUGAUACAGUUGGAAAGGAAGUAAAAUUGAUAUAUUUCUCUUGUUUAGUCAAUUUUUAGAGUGAUUGAAAAGUCUUGCCAAUUUUCAGCUAUUGACUUAUCGUAUUAUUUUGUCGUUGCUACUAUUUCUUCCUCGUUAUUUUCAUCAUGACUUCUUUGCUACUAUUUAAUGUACUAGGAAAGUUCCUUUUACUGUGUCCACCUUUUUAAAUUUUGGUGCUUGUUAUGGUUUGUUUAUGUUACAUUAACUCAUUCUAAUCAAAUGAAUUUGAUACCGAAAUUUCUCUAAUCUUUGUAUUGUAGGUACAUCCCAAUCAUGAUAAGUUUGUCAACCAAAGAAUUGAUAUGUUCGACGAAAUGUCUCUUGUGUGUGGGAAUGAUCGAGCUAGGGGAGAUUGUGCUAAGUCAUUUGGAGAUAUAGAUUUUGAGUGUUUUUCUGAGAAAGAUAAUGAUAAUGACAUUGAAGGACCAUCCACGGAAAAGGAUGUGCAGGUGACUGAAGCUUCUCAAGGCAAGGCAAGUCGCAAUAGAAAACGUUCUUUUGAGGUGCAAGAUGUUGUUGAUGAUAUAUCAAUUAAAUUUGGAGAAGUGGCAAUGGCAAUUGGUAGGAUGGUUGAUAGUCGUCUAGAUGUGACAAAGUUGUACAAAGAAGUUAUGGCAAUGGAAGGUUAUGAGGAAGAGUUCCUCGAUGAUGCUUUUGAUUACUUGGUUCAAAGCGACACUUUAGCUAAGGCAUUCAUGGCAAAAAUUAAAAGCUUCGUAAGGUGUGGUUGGAACAAUUCAAGCAACAACAAUAGUGACACCUAUCGAUUGGAAGAACUUAGCUUCAUAGGGUUUGGAAGCAAUUAUUAUUCACAGACUUUUAUUUUUGAUAAUGUAGCGUGUAUUUGCUACCAAACUUCUCUCUUUUGUGUAUUUAAGAAAAUAUUUAUCUCUCUUUUUGUGAAUUUAAGGAAAUAUUGAUUAGGAAGCUUGAAUUAUAUAAUUAGUAGUUGCUUAAAUUUUAGUGACUUGAAAUGUUUUGCUACUCGAUAUUGGUUUUAUUUGUUGUUCUUAAAUUAGUUCCUACAGAUUGUUGAAUUGCUAACGAAAGUGAUGUACAAGUUAACUAUUAGUACAUAGUUCCAAAAAAUAUUUUUUCUCUCAUCAACUAAAUACUAAAAAAUAUUGUUUUGAAAAAUAUUUUUUGCUAACCAACCAAACACCAUAAAAUAUUUUCCGAAAAAUAUUUUACACUCACCAACCAAACAUGAGAAAAUAAGUAAAAAAAUUAACUUAUUUUCCAUGAAAACAUUUUUUAGGAAAACAUUUUCCAUCAUAGCAAACACACCCCUUGUUUUUAGUGGCCAACGAAAAUAAGGCUCAAAACUAACAAGUAAUAAUAUUAUUAAAAAACACCUAGCUGCUAUUGCAAAAACGGUGGCGAAAAAUAACAACCUAAUCAAAUCUGUAUUUAUAUAUAUAUAUAUAUAUAUAUAUAUCAAGUUAUGUGUAGCUAUGGUAUUACCGUAUAUCCCUUCCUUCAUUUUUCAGAUUGUAUAUUCAUUCCUUGACCUUGUAUAUUGCUAUAUAUUCUUCUUUUGCCCUUUAUUCAUAUAUUGGCCAUGGAUAUAUGGUAUAGGGUUGAGAUUUUAGGUAUGGUUGGAAUAGGAUAGUUCAUCCUUGAUACUUUCUAGACCUCAAUAUGUUAAGUCUCCUGGACAUGAAUAGGAUAGGUUAUCCUUAUUAUCUCACUGGCUUGUUAUAUGAUUACUGGACUCUUGGGUGUAGUUUUCAUUUUGAUCAUAUGUUAUGUAUAUCUGUUUUAUCUUUGAAGCUCAGUUGACAGUUGCCUACUGAGUACCAUUUGUUUGGUACUACUUCAUAAUUAGAAAAAGGUAAAAAUAAAUAAAUAAAUAAAUAAAUAAAUUUAUUAAAAAAAUUAAAAUAUUUGCAUUUAAAAAUAUAUUAUUCUUUAUUUGAAAAAAAGAUUGCAUUAACUUAAAAAUAGAAACUCCUGGUUAAAGAGUUUUGAAUGAACUUUUACUCUUUUAUGUUUAUCUCCUUAAAUAUUCAAAUAAAUAUUAUACAACUCUCUAAAUAUAAUUUAUGUAAAUAUUAAAUAAAAGAUAAAAAUAUAAUAAUAAUAUUAAUAAUAAAUAAUAGCAGUAAAAUUAAUAGUAAUAGUGCGCAGUAAAAAAAUAAUAAUAAUAAUAAUAAUAAUAAUAACAAUAAUUAAAUAAGUAAAUAGUAGUAGUGACAAUACAUAUAAUAAAAAUAGUAAUAGGAAUAGUAGUAGCAUUAAUAAUAACUAGUUUAAUCGCACGUGCCUUGCACAUGUAACGUUUAAUUAUAUUACAAGAACCAAUAUCAAUGACGAAAGAAAAAUAAUAUGGUAGAAGAACAAACAUCGAUGGUGAAGGAAAAAAUAUUUUGAUUUCCAUGUUAUUUGAAGGAAAACAAAUAUCUUGAAAAAGAAAAUUCAGAAUUCACCAAAGGAAAAAAAGUGUUCGGGAUUAAAAGUACACCUCAGAAUUUUACGAUAUUGGUAUUUUCUAUCUCUAUGUAUAAGAGAGUCCUAUUGGGUUCAAAAUUGACAGGCCGUCAUGCGGAAGCUUAUAAUUUGUAAAUCAUAGCGGACAUAUUCAGACGACACAUAAAACAAUAUUAAAAAACUAUAUUAUUGAUAUGGUUUAGCCAAUUACCCUACAUAUAAAAAAAUUAAUAUGAAAAACAUAAAACUUAUUAGGAGAAAUCUCCCCGUAGACAAAGACUCUUUAAUGACUACAUUAUGGAUGUUAUUGUGUUAUGGUAUGAGAAGGGGGGUUUUCUAUUUAUAGAUGUCCAAAACAUUUCCCGAAAGAAAGAUGUUAGCCAAAUAUGAAAAAGAAUUAUAUUUUCCUUCCAAGAAAAAGUAAAACUUAAUUUUGAUAAGAAAGUCAAGACAAAAACUCCAACAAGUCCUAAAUAAGGAAAAAAUUAUAUACAAUAUUAAUUGGUUUGAAAGUCCUAAAUUACAUAACUCAAAUAAGGAAAAAUUAAUAUAUUAUUUUAGUUGGUUUCAAACCCUUAAUUAUUAGGAAAAUAAUUUAAUUAGGUUUUCCAAACUACAAAAACAGGUAAGAAAUAAAUUUAAUAACAUACUUGGCUGGUUUUAAUUUAUUAUUUGUUAAUAGUAGAAUAAUAAUACGUUUUUUACUUUUUUUUUUUUGCUUUCUUUCUUUUUCCUUUUUUUGAACUUUUCUUAAUUUUAACUUUUCCUUAAUAGGAAGUUAGGCAUUAACAUGUAUUUCUUGUUUAGCCGGAAAAAAAGUGUAUUUGUUUAUUUCCUUUUUAGCCGAAAAAAUGUAGUAAUUUUUAAUUUUCUCUCCUCCUCUUAUAGUAUAUUUUAGAAAUCUAUAAAUAUUGAUUUUUUUAGUAAUUCUUACUAUAUAUUUUAGUACUCUUUAAUUUGUAAAACAUACCAUAUAUUUUGAAACUUUUUACUUUAAAAUAUAAUAAAUAUAAUUAAGUAAUAAGUUAAAAAGAGUAAAAAGAUGAUUUUGUCUAUUGCAUAGUAUUUUAAUGAAGAGUAAAAAGUUCAAAUCACUUUUCUAAAAGUCUUCACACUUUUAAUAUAUUAUUAUAGAUAUUAACAAAAAAAAGUAAUAAUAAUACAACAACAACAACAAACCCAGUGUAUUCCCACACAAUAAUAAUAAUAAUAAUAAAUAAAUAAAUAAAUAAAUAAAUAAACUUUUCUUUAGACAAAAUUAUCUUUUCACUAUUUUAUUUAAUUUAUUAUUUAAUUAUUUUUAUUAUAUUAACUAGACUCCUAAAUAUAUGAGAUUCCUAAAAUAUAUAAAAGAAGAAUCAAUUAAUAUUUUCUUUUGUACAGAUCAAUUAGAAAAAUACUCCUAAAAUAUGAUAGAAAAAUACUCUUAUAAUAGGACUAUAUUAAGGAAAUACUUCUAUAAAUAUUGAGAUACACAUUAAACUGGAGAAGAAAAUGAUUUACUCAUUGGGAAAAUAUGAUUGAUACCCAUCUAACUUGAUUCGACUGCAUGUCUAGAUUGAUGGAUGCUUAAUUUUCUAACACCUCAACUUCUUCACUAUUUUUGUCAACAUAAUAUAAUUCAACGUGUGUGUGUGCGUGUAUAUAUAUAUUCUUUAGUGUCAAAAUUUUCUCUCAAACAAGAAUUAUUUCAUCAAAACUAAAGCUUUAUGAUCACUAUUAUAUUAUUUUGUUGUAGUUUAUAGGUCGUAGAUGAAUUUACAGGCAGUAGAUGAAUGUCGGUCGGCUUUGAAUUUUUUUUUAGGUAAAUGUUAGGUCUAAUUGUAUUUAUUUAUAUCUCUAUUUUGAGAAUUUUUUUGUGUAAAGGUAAAGUUUAGUUGUAUUAUUUUAAUAUCUCUAUUGUCGUAGUAUUUUGUUAUAGUUUAUAGAUGGUAGAUGAGUAUCAGACGACUUUGAGGAAAUUUUUGUGUAAAAGUUAGAUUUAAUUUUAGAUUUAAUUAUAUUGUUUUGAUGUCUCCAUCAUCGUAUUAUUUUGUUGCAGUUUACAGGUGGUAGACGAAUGUCGAUCGGUUUUGAUAAACUUUUUGGUAAAGAUUAUGUUUAAUUAAAUUAAUUCUUUAAAAGAUGUUGAAUUUAAUUAUUGUAUUCAUCUUUAUUAUUUAAACAAAUAUCUUAUUUAGUGUAACGUUUGAACUCAAUAAAGUGAGGUACACGCACGGGCGCUUACAUCUAAGCUAGUAAACUAAAAACAUCCCAAGUUAUAUCCAAUGAUAAAUAUUAUUAAAUUUAAACUGAAAAUUAAAAUAUUAUUAGAUUUAAAUUAAAAAUCAGUUGUUUGGUUUUGAAUGCUCCUUUUUUAUAGUAGAAGAAUUGUGGUUCUCUUUAGCUCCUUUUUAUUAGCAAUUAUAAGAUUUUGCUCCUUUAUUUUUUAAAAUUUAUAUUUAUCCAAAGAGAUAUCCUAAUUACUUAAUUGUUUGGAUUUAAAUUUAAGUGAAAUUCCAGUUAGAAUGAAGUUCUACUAUUUAAUUUCUCCUAUACAUACUUCUACAAUUAUUUAUAAUGCUAAGCUUUUUUUUUUGUGUGUUAUUUUAUAAUUUAUUAUUGAUCAUUAGUUUUAUUCAUGAAUUUAUUUACUUAUAAUGCUAAGCUUUUUUGUUGUUGUCGUUUUAUUAUUUAUUGUGGAUUGUUAGGUUUAUUUAUGAAUUAUUUACUGCAUUCUUCAUAUUCUAUAUUUUUUAGAUUUUUUGUUUUAACAAUUUCACCCUCCUAUAUGUAGAUGAAUAGUGAUAGUAUUACAUGCUAAUCUAUUUUUAUAGCUUGAAUUUUAGUAAUUAAUAUUUUCUAUUGUGAUUUUGUUUGUUUGAUUUCUGAUGAAAGCAAAGAGAUAAAUUGUAUUAAUUAUCCUCAGCAAUUUUUCUCUAAUUUUUAUUGGUGGUGGUGGAAUUUUUCUUAUGAUUUUGAUGUGGUAUAUUUGUUCUUGAUGCUUAUUUUUCUGAAGAAAAUUUUUAUUUACUCAUAAAUUUAAUUUUCAAAAAUUUCUCUUUAAUAUUUUUCAAAGUAACACAAGCAUCGAGAAUAAUAGUGAUACUUCUUAGUAACAUUUGGUAAUGUGAAAAGUUAUACUUUUUUUAAUUAUUAUUUUAUUUGUUUGCUUUAUACAAAAGGAGAAUAUGUCUGAAAAAUAUAAGUAUUUGAUUUUGAAAUGAGCAUUAUUAAAUUAUGACAGGAAAUUUUGAUAGAAAUUUAUUUUUUAAAAUAUUUUAUAUAUUGUAAAAAAAGUUGCAGAUUAUUUAAAUUAAUUUUUAAAAUUUUAAAAUCAGUUUGUUUAGUAAACACGGUGUUUUGGGAGGGAAGUUAUUACAUUUUGUAUACUAAAUAUCUCGACUAACCUCCUAUAACUACUCCUUCUUUAUAGCCAAAAAAGAAAAAAACAGAUUGUUUAUAUUAAAAUAGACCUAAUAAACACGUUUAGUGGCAAAGCACAUUUAGGAUUUUUUUUUGUGGGAGGUUGUUGGAUUUUAAUAGUAUAUUUUUAAACUAAAAGACUAAAUGUUACCUAGAAUAACAUAUUUUAAUAUAAAAUAAAAAUUCCAUUAAAAAACUAGGAAAUUUUAAAACAUUAAAUUGAGAGUGAUUAAUCUUAUAUUAUAUAGAGGUAAAAAGCUUCUUAGAGUGGCAAACAUAAGCACCAAAAAAUUCCUAUAAAAAAGGGCACGAUUUAAAAAAUGCAAAACAAUAAAUUUUGAAUUUAGUUACAGUCAUUUUUUUAAUUAAUGUGCCCAAUUUUAAAGUUGUCGAUUUUAAAACUAUCGACACGUAUCCUUUAUUUUAUUUUUUUAACAAUGAGAGUCUACAUGUUGGUUUGAGUACUACGAGUUAGUCCUUGAAGGGUGCUUAGAAAAUCAUCGAUUUAUUUUGGCUGAAAAGUAUGUGAUGAAAAUGACCAAGAAAAGAUUUCAUAGUCAAUGUUCUGACGGACAGAGAUUUGAAGAACUAAGGACUUAGUUUCAUGCAAACAAGCAAAUCAAUAAGUUUUAUAGAAAGGAAUCGAAAUUAUUAUUCAGAUAGGAGCAUAUAAUUGUAUGAUAAACGACUGUAAUUUCAUAAUCUACUCGAAACCCUCUCAAAACCCUCUCAAAAUCCAAAUACUAUAUAUUUAUAUCACUUUUUUGUUUGUUAAUUAGUUUAGUUUAUAAAAGCCAGAGGCAUUUUUUUUUUGCAUUUUCGUAUAUGUUAGAUGGACGAUUAUACAAUUUCUUCUUCUUCGGUGAGAGUAUUAUUUAGUGGCAUUAAGUUAUACUUCAUUGGUUUAUACUUCUUUUGUGUGUUUGGUCUAAUUUAGGUGUUUUUAAGUCAAAAUAACUUUUAAGCAAUUUAAAUAUAUAUGUAUUUAGAUUGAUUCAUCUUUGCGAAUAUAAAUUAAAGUAGUUAAUUUAUAGGAAUGUGUCUUUGUCUCUUAUAAAUUUCUUUCAUAAUUUGUCAAUUUCCUUAUAUAUUUCUUUGAAAUUAUUAAUUUCCUUCUCAAAUAAAUAAAAUCUUUCUAUAUAAUUUUAAAUAUAGGAUAAUAAUUGAUACUGUUGUAUUCAAAUUUUUGUAUUACAAAAUUGACUUGAAUGUAUCUUCAAAAAAAAUGUUGUACAUAUUCAAUAAUCUUAAAUUAAAAGCUAAAUUAGCAAAAAGUACUUAUAUGUAGGAAUUUUAAACAAUUAUAAAUAAAAAAAUUAUUAGUGCUUAUUACACGAAAUAAUAAAACAAGAUUAUUAAAAACACUAAUAUACUUUAUGAUAAGUAAAAAAAAAAAAUUUAAAAUACUUAAGACGAACUCAAAAUAAAAAAUUAGUUAUGAAUUUGACAGUAUUUAUAUUAUAUAUGAUAUUAUGUAAAAUACUAAAUGGAAAUAAAUUAACAAAAUUAUUAUAAUAGGAAAAAACCAUGUACAUGAAAAGGGAGAUGGUCAAAAUAUACAAGUUCUCAUUACACUUUAGAUGAAUUCAAAAUCACAUCUUAAAAUACAAUAUAACAUUAUUUGCAUUAUAAGUGAAAUACUGAAGGUUACAUAGUCAAAUAUCAAAAUGGAAAAAUGAUGUAUCAUAAAAUAAUAAAAUAUUAUAGCAAUUUAUAAGUAAGUAACUUUUGAAAAUAAUGUAGAAGAAAUUACUAAAUUAUUUAAGGACGGACGAUCUUCACCUUAAGGGGUGAUGUAAAUGGAUUAAAAACUAACUUGAAAAAAUUGAAGGAAAGGCGUCUUUUAAGUCUUGAAUGAAGGAUUGGUGACAUUGACCAACAGAUAGGGUCAAAUAUUAUUAGGAAACUAGAUCAAGUUAAUUAUGGACUUGAUUAAUAUUUUCAAAACUUUCUAAUCUUUUUAAAAAUACAAAUCAACCCAACCCACACCCUCUUCAAUCUAAAUCAACCACUCUCUCCUCUCUCUCGACAGCUUCUCUCAACUCUCUCCCAACCCACAGUUCUGCAAAAUUUCUCUCUUCACCCCCCGACGACUUCUACCUCCGACAAUAAAUAGUUGGGCUUCAAGUUCCCCUCUUCAAUUCAAUCAAUCUGUCUCUCAUCCCUCUCUCGGUAACUUCUCUCAACUCUCUCCCAACCAACUGUUCUGCAAAAUUUUUAUUUCAAUUCUCGGCGACUCCAACAUCCGACUACAAAUAGUUGGGCUUCGAGUUCCUUUUCGACUUCAAUUGACGUGACAACCUUGCUCUCCGGCCACAACAGCUUCAAAUUCUUCAUCGGUCCUUUUCUUCUUUCACAGGUAAAAAUUUAUGGCCUUUUUAGUUUUGAAGAAAACGAUGAACUUGAUCCAACUUCUCUUAUAGUAUUGGUUAAAAAUUUUAAUAUUUGUUGCACUAAUUUAAAAUACAGUUUGAAUAAAACCCUAAUUUUUGGUAUUUCUUUCCUUCUCUUAUCGAAGUGAAUUAUGAUAUUUUAUUGUUUGUUGUAUUUUUUUGAAGUUUUAUUUUUAUUGUUUGUGUUUAUAAAAAUAAAAGAACAAUUUGGUUUGAUUUGUUCUAUUCUUGUUCUUGGUAAAAAUGGUGAAAUUGUUCUUUUUUGUUUAACAAAAUCGUGCUACUGUUUCCUCCGACAGAUUAUCUAUCUGGUGCAACAUAUUAACCAUCUGAUGCAACAGAUUUAUCAUAUGAUGCAACAGAUCAACCAUUCGAUGCACCAAAGGAACCAUCAGAUUAUAAUUUUGAUACAAUAGAUUAAUAAUCUGAUACAACAGAUUAAAUAUCUGAUGCAACAGCUUUACCAUAUAUUGCAACAGAUUAAGCAUCGGAUAAAAAAUUUGAUGCAACUAAUUAACCAUCUGGUACAAUGGAAGAACUAUCAGAUUAAUGAUCUGAUGCAACAGAUGAACCUCCUGUUGGAUAAAAUCCUACCAACUCUUUCUACAGGAAAAGUUCAAGACUUGAUUUUUCCAACUGAUCAUUCAUCUAUCGCAAUAGACGACCCUAUGUUAGAAGAAAUAUAAACAAUAUUGACCAUUGAUAACUGUUCCAAUAGAUUAAUCAUGUGUUGCAACAGAUGUGUGACCUGUUGCACAGAUCAUUCAUCUUUUUCAACAGAUGAGCGAUCUAUUUUGUAUUGUCGCAACAGAUUACUCAGCCGUUGCUAUGGAUUAUUUAAUUAUUCCAAUAGAUCACUCAUAUAUUGCAACAGAUGAUGUCACAACAGUUGUGUGAUCUGUUGAACAAACUAUUCAUCUGUCUUAAAAGAUAAGUGAUAUGUUUUAUAUUGUUGCAACAAAUUACUCAUCCGCUACAACAGUUUAGUUAUAUGCUGCUACAAAUAUACUACCUGUUGCAACUGUUAUUUUACUAUUUUUCUUGUUUGAUUUACUGUUAUCCUAUUUUAACGAUGCAUUAAUCAAUAAUAAUAUAUUAUUUUAUGUUCCUAUUAAUUUUAGAUAAUAUGGUUCCCAAAAGAACAGAAAAUGAAUCAAGUCCAAGUAAAGGAACAAAUGAAGCAACUAGGCUACAUCCACCACUCUAUGAGCUUGCUUUACAAGUGUUAUCUCAAUCGGGAGCAGAAUAUGAUGAACACGGGGAGGAGGAAUGUUUCAAAAGAGAUGAUGGAGAUGCUAAUAGCCCUUUCACCGAAGAGCUAGUCAAAGCCUUCAGCAUUGAUCGUUAUCCUGUGAGAAUGCAGUACGAUGGUGUUGCAGAUUUAAUGGGUAAUUUCGUGGUUAAGUCAGCCACGGAAAAAUCUUUCGACGCCUUCAGAAAAAUACUUUGAGAACAAAAAUUGGAUGCUUAUUUCAGGGACAGCUGCUUUGGAAAAUAUAUUGAUUUGUUCGAGGACAACAAUGCUCGUUUCCAAAUGAAAAUGGUAUAUGAACUUCUCAAGCGUAGGUUUAUGUAUAAAAACAAAGAUAAGAUGGAUGAGGUAUUUAUAAAUUACUAUGGCAUGCCUGUUUGUUUUGGUUGGAAGGAGUUUUCCAUAGUUACUGGACUAAAAUGUUAUCCUCCUUCUCAAGUUAUACCUAUUUUAACCUAAAAAAAGCACCCCGCACACCCAAAAAAGGCAAAGGCAAGUCGUGUGAUCGUGAUGACCUGGUGUCCAUUGUUGGUCAAAGCUUCAAAAAUAAAAAUUUCAUAGAAGCGUUGAAAGGUAAAGGACUUUCAAAGAAGCACAAACAGUCAUUGUGCUUGGUUUGGUUUGUACAUAAUAUUCUUUAAGUGAGAGACGCUAACAACAACAUAAGCCUCGAUUUAAUAAAGCUCUCCGAGGAUCUUGAGGCAUUUGACAGCUAUCCAUGGGGGUAUGAAAGCUUUAAAAUGACUGUUAAAUAUUUGUUGACUCCGUUAGCGCCAAAGACAGUCAAUUUAUAUGGCUUCCCAUGGGCUUUCAUGGUAAAUGUUUCUUUCUUCUAUUAUGAUAUCAUUCAUUUUUUUCGCUCAAUAAUGGUUUUGAUUUAUUGGCGUUAUUUUAUAGGCUUGGGCAUUUGAAGUCAUUCCUUAUUUGAGACAACAAGUGAACUACCAGGAAGAAGUUUUCUGUCCAAGAAUCUUGAGAUGGUUGUCGGCCAAAACUGAUAAAAAUGCAAAAAUUUCUUGAUCUCUUCAACCCCCCAAAGGAUGCAGUAAGUAUAAUUAUAAUUAUUUUUUCUUUUAAUUAAUGUUUUUUUGAAUGAUCUAAUCAUCAUUCUAAUAUAUGUAAUAAUUUAUGUUAGAAUAUGCAUUCGUUGCUAGUUCCGACCAAUCGAGAGUUGAAGGUGCCAUUUUUUCUUACUUUACGGUUUGUGCAAACUUUAUCGGACCCUAAGAUCAUCGAUAGAAUAAAAAUGAAAUUGUUUGGAGCAACAGCCAUUACAAGAAAAACAAUUUUAGAGGGUGGACUUGUUGUUGUUGAUGGAGCUGUUGGUGGUGGUAGGGGUGCUGCUGUUGGUGCUAAUGAUGCUCCUCUUACAGUAUUUAAAGCAAACCAUUAUGAGUAUGAUCAUACUGGUUAUACAGAUUUUUUCUCUCCCAGCGAAUGUUCUGCAUGCAAAUGUAAAGACUGCAGGGCGAAACAUGAUGUAGUGAUUAAUACUAUUAAUGCAUUAACUGCUUAUGUAAAGGAAUUGACAUCAAAGAGGAUUUUAUUUACAUCCGCUCUAUUAGAGAUUAGGGCUAAGAGGAGAAGGAGAGUGAUUUUCAGGGCAUUAUCGGGCAUUCAAAAAAGUGAAAUUACAACUCCUCUGUCUAUGUGUUGCACCGAGCAACGUACAAUAUCCAAAGAAGAGCAACACGAGCUAAAGAAGGUGAAUAUAUUAUAUGUCUUCCAACUGACAAAACAAACAGACACAUAUCUGUUUCAACAGAUGACACAUCUAUUGAAAAUUAUCAAACAGAUAUAUACAUCUGUUGCAAUAAUUGACUAACCUGUUGCACCAGAUACUUUAUCUAGUGCAACAUAUGUCUCGUCUAUUUUAGCAAAUCAAACAGCUCUUCGUACCACUUUUAUUUGUACCAACAGACGACUUAUCUGCUGCAACAGAUGAUUCAUAUGUUACAACGGAUGGUUCAUCCGUUGGAAAUUAUCACACAGGGUCUUCCUCAUGUAGAAAUUUAUCCCAACAGUUGAUUCAUUAAUGCAACAAAAAUAUAAUAUGUUUGAGACAAUUUAAAAUAGAAGGAAGACCUGUUUGAUUUGCUAGAAGAGAUGAGUUAUCCUUUUUCGUUUUAUUUUAUCUCCAUGAAUAGCAUUGACCAAUUCUGGCUUUCCAGGUGGAUGUAGAAGAAGCUACUGCUGAACAGCAUUGACAAUAUGCUACUCUUUUUAUGGAAAUACGGAGAACAGAAAGCGCAGAAACCGUACGCAAGCGACAAUAAAUAUCCACGACAAGCAAAAUCAAAUUCCAUAGCACCGGAUGAAGAACAACUUGUCCAUACUGAGUAGAUCUUUAUAGCUUGAGCCUGUCAAAGCAAUCCUUGGCAGUAUACUUAAAUUAUUGUUGAUGUAUUUAUUGAGAUCUGUACCCAUAAUAAUUUUUUUUACAUUUUAUUUAUUCGUUGACUUAUUUCAACUAAUUUAUGAAGGCUUUGAUUUAUUUUAUUUUGUCUACGAAUUUUAUUUAUUCUUUAGAUUUAAACUUAUUAAUUGAAAAGGAAUACUAGAUUCAAAUAUUGCAACAGAUAAUGUAUCUGUUGCAACAGACGACACAUGUAUUGGAAAAAUCAAAUGAAUUUAGACAUAUGUUAUAACAGGUAGGUAAUCUGUUAGAAUUUAUCAAACAGGUCUUCCCACUGUUGCAACAGAUGGACUUUAGAUAAAAACAUCAAGAUAAUGCAACCGAUGACACAUCUAUUGGGAAAAAAAAUAACAGAUUUAGACAUAUGUUGCAAUAGAUGGACUUUAUCUGUUGCAACAAACGACACAUCUAUUGGAAUAAUCGAACAGAUUUAUACAUAUGUUGCAACAGGUAGAUUAUCUGUUAGAAUUUAUCAAACAGGUCUUUCCACUGUUGCAACAGAUGGACUUUAGAUAAAAACAUCGAGAUAAUGCAACAGAUGACCAACCUAUUGCAACAGAUAAACUAUAUGUUAGAACAGGUAGGAUAACUGUUACAACGGACGGAGAAUCUGUUACAUUAUAAAAAUUCAACUUUCGUUGGACAUAAAAAAUUGCCACUACGUGUAAAAAGGUUAAAGUGAAUUGAAUUGAAAUAAAAAAGGCGCAACCCAUCGACGGUUUUCAGUUCAAACACCUAAAAUAAAAUAGGCAUCAAGUAGACAUGUCCAUUUUAAACAUAUAAAAUAAAAUAGGCAUCAAAUAUGUCAGUGUCAGUUUGAUACAUUUCGUUGAUUUGCCGUCACUUGGCCCUCAACGGUCAUUUUUUUCCACCCAUUGUCUUAUAUAUUCAUCUUCUUCCUAAAAUUUAACCCUAAAUUCCCAAAUCUUCUUCUUCAUCGUCAUCUUCUUUUAUCUAUCCAAAUUCUUCAAAUUAUUAAUUUCAUUUUUUUUCAACUGAUCUUGACAGUGUCGAGCGCAUCUUUCACUAUUUUUUGUGAUAAAGAUUUUGGAUAUUGUAAGUGCGGUCAUGAAGCUCUGUUAAAGACUUCUUGGACUCAACAAAAUUCGGAUCGUAGAAUUUUUACUUGUAAGAUUUCAAAGGUAAUAUUUUUUUUAUUUAAUUAGUUGAUUAAUUAUUGACUUGUAGUUGUUUUGUAAUUGUGUUCUCUUUAUUAUAGAAAUUGGGUGGAUGCGAUUACUUUGAUUGGUAUGGAGAAUGACACCCUUCACAAGCAAAUCGUUUAAUCUGGGGUUUGUUGAACAAAGUCAAGGCUUCUGAAUUGAAAUAAAAUCGAGCAAGAAGAUACUACAUUGUUGCCGUUAUUGCUACUGGUUUAGUGUUGUUGGGCACAUGAAUAUUGAAGCCUAAUUGCUGAAAUUUUUAUGGUGGUGUGUGUAUUUGAUACUAAUUUGUUGUCGACGGACACAUGGAUAUUCAAGCAUAACUGUUAGAAAAUAUCAAAAAGAUUUAGACAUAUGUUGUAAAAUUUAAGUCAUCUGCUGGAAAUUAUCAAACAGGUCUUUCCACUGUUGCAACAUAUUAGACUUAGAUUAUUAGAUUAUUUAUAGAAAUAACAUUGACGUAAUGCAACAGAUGACCAACCUACUGCAACAGAUAAACUAUCUGCCAGAACGGAUUAAAGAUAUUUUACAACAGAUUGAUAAUUUAAUCUAUUGCAUUAUCAAAAACUCAACUUUCAUCAAAAAAAAAUUAUUGCCACUACAUGUACAUGUAAUAAAGUGACGGGUGACCUGAAAUUAAAAGUUUCUAUUUCACAGGCUCUUCUAUAUACACAGGCUUCAAGCGUCCAGUUAGUACCCCAUAAACCCAGACCUCUUGCAGGCUUGCCACCGCGUUGUUGCAAAGAAAAGUCAUUAGCUCGGUCAUUUCUGUGCCGGUCAGCAAACAUUUGAUGUGUGCAAGAGCGUGCGAGCCGCUCGCUUUAGCGGCAUCAUCUUUUGGAAGGAUCAUUCUCCUAUUUUGACCUUCAAAAUCCCAUGAUUUCUUCAUCAACACUUCCUUUGGCAAAUGAUUCAUCAGUUUACUCUCCCUCAACAAGAUGGGCAACAGCACCAUCAGUGGCUCCACGAGGAGAAAAAGAUCAAAAUUGCCAAUAAGAGGUACGUUGGAGUCAUAAACAUUGAUCUUUCCCUCCUCGAUUAGUAUCUCAACAGCCUGAUAAUGCAUGUCGUUCACGCUAAUGACUGCAAAAAUCUUUUUUGCCUCGGUCCAGCUCUUUCCGUGUGGAUUUGGCUUGUCCCCUCUAACAUAUCUUAACGUUUCUUCUUCAUCCAAGACCAACGUAGGAACUAGAAAAUCAAGUCCUACGCCAAGGGCUGAUACCUCUCUAUUGAGUUGAUCGUACCUAUCCUUGAGCUUCUUGUAAAAGUCAAGGUCCAUUAUCCUAUCGGUAGCGUCAUAAGCUUUCCGAUACGUUAAUUGCCUUUUUUUCAUGAGGCAGAGAAUUAUGUCAACAUGCUGUGAGAUAAGAAGUUAAUUUUUACAUAGUUUAGUAAUUGUAAAGAUGCAACGGAUGGUCCAUCUGUUGCAUAGGGUUCUCUGAAUCAAUAAUCCAACGCAACUUAUACAACAGAUGAAUAAUAAGUUGCAACAUAACCAUAACCAGUUGCACCAGUAUACCCAGCUGUUGUAACAGAUGUGAAAUUUGUUGCAUAACUUUUUCUUCAUGGGGUAGAUUAGAAGGGCUAGGUUAGGAAAAUUAAACUUGUCUUGUCCUCGUACGGCAUAUGCAUAUCAGUCAUAGUCUGGAAGUCUUGGGGGGAAAAGAAAGGCCUGGGGUAAUCUGGUGCGCCUGGCUUGGCAUUCUUGGCCUGUCGCAGAUCCCUGUUCUCUUCGGCGCUAAGUUCCGCGUAUAUGUCUACCUUCUUGACUGGUCCCUGAACAUUAACAGUUUUUGGAAAGGGACGAAUUGCAAUUUCUUUUGAUUUUCGAGCGGAGAGUAUGUCUGUAAUUGCUCUUUUUUUUUUGAACCAACGCUGUAGGAGUGUGUGGCUCCCUCACCUUCUUGGAUGGUAUGACACACCUCUUGGAUUUGAAUUCCUUGAAAGCUUUAGAGAUAGCCUCUACUUUUUCAAAGAGUUUAUCAUGUCUGUCCUUGCACUCAUCGCAUUUGCAAUAAGAAAACGAGGGUGAAGAGGGGUGAUAGGGACCUGUGUAAGGGCGAAAAUGGGUGUUUUCAAACAUAUUUAUUCUUUUUUGAGCAUUAACAUGCUCAUCAUCACGAGUGGUAGCAGCAUCAGCAUGCCUGCCACUAACACCAACAACUCCAUCAGAAGAAGCACCUGGAUCUGCCUUAGUAAAAGGUUGGUCAUGAAGAGCCUCAACAUUAGGCUGACCUUGCCUAACUACACUUCUUAUGGCUAUUGCUCCAGCCAAUUCCUUCUUUAUUAACUCCACCGUUGGGUCUACAAUAGUAUCAACAUGACCUAGAGUAAUAUAAAGAGUCAUCAUCGACUCCUCCUUAGUAGGAACGAUCCAUGGAUGCAAAACCUAUAAAAAAGAAAAAAAAGACAGAUGCAUUUAAAUCAUAUAAUAUAAUAAUUUUCACAGUUGGGCUACAUUUAAAAAAAAGACCCAUCUUUUGCAUAGUUUGCAAUAUAUUGUUAAAAUCCGUUUGAGUCUGGUUCAGAGAAACAGAGCAACGCAUGGAUAAUCUGAUGCAGAAAAUCAAUCAUCUGUUGCAACAACUGUACAAGAUGGGUAAUCUGUUAUACAACAGAUGAUCUGUACGUCACAACAGAUAAAUGAUAUAUUAUCAGAUUAAACAUCUGUGGCAUAAUUUUUAGUAGAUGGUUAAUCUUUUAGGAGUCGAAUUCAGAGAACCAAAGCAACAGAUGGGUAAUCUGAUGCAAGAUAUACCCCGUCGCAACAGAUGUCCCAUCUGGUGCAUCAGAUAUAAUAUCUGUUGCACCAGAUAUAACAUCUAUUCAAUAUCUUUCUUAUUUUUGAGUAGAAUUAGUUUACUUGAGGAAGACGUACUGCAUCAUCCGAAGGGUUAAAGAGAUCAACCUCCUUAAUAUUGGUGUUUCUCUUUGCAUCCAACCACCUAAACAUCCUUGGAUGAGAAACCUCAUUCGGGUAAUCCACUAACUACUUUCGGAGAGGAGGAGUGGCUUCAAAUGUCCAAGCCUAAAAAAUGUAAAUAGGAAGCAAGCAAAAAAAAUCAUAAUAACUAUAUUUAAUAUAAAUUAAUGGAUGAGUAAAAUUAAUGAUUAAAUUUACCAUGAAAGCCAAAGGAAAGCCGUAUAAUGUGGUCGUCCCUGAGGAUAGCUUUGUCAGUAAAUAUUGGACAGUCAAGUAGAAGCUGUCAUAUCCCCAGGGAUGAUUAUUGAAUUGAUCAAAAUCCUCAGCACGCGCCAACAAACCAUCUUCUAUGACCUUGUUAACGUCUCUUGCCAAUAUAACCGAAUGGGCAAACCAAACUAAACUAAGCAUAAUUGCUCCAUGUACUGCUCUGGUAUGGUUUUAUCCUCGAGAUCUGUCAACAAAUCCGAUGCUUUUUAGCCACGUCGAGCAAUGUCAAACAACCCAUCUAUUUUUUCCUUGCAUUUUGUUGCCUUAGAUCUUUUGCUGGGUGGUGGUCCUUCUGGAUGAUGGCAUCUUAGGCCCGUCACUAUGGCAAACUCUUGCAAGCCAAAACAAACAGGCACGUCACAGUAGUUGAUCCAGAUUUCAUCCAUCUUCUUUUUGCCCCCUCCUCUUGAUCUUUACCAUCCCCCGCGUACUUGAUCCUGCGCUUGGGAAGACUAUAUACCAUCGUUAUAGGGAAACGAAUACGGGCAGAGGGGUCCUCAGGCUGCUCAAGAAAGCGUCCAAAGUAGCUCUUCUUAAAAAGUCCACCUAUGUUUUCGUUAUAAAAUGUUCAAAAAAUGUCCUCAUCUGAUAUUUAAGUACAAUUUGACCAGUUAGUUGUUUUCUUUCUGGGUCAUUUAUCGGCAUCGCAACUUGAAACCUGUCAAUACUAAAAGUUUUGACACGAUCAUGCUGGGGUGUCAAUAUUAACUCAUACCCCGUCGGUGAUCCAUUAUCAUCAUGUUGAUGAUCAUCCUCUUUCUCUUUUUGACUCUCCAAUUCCUCUUCUUUCUCACUUUUAUUUUCUUCAUCACCAUCUACGGACCCUUGUCCACCUCCCUCAAUGUUGUUUUCACAUCUCUCUUCAGCUUCACUUUUCCUUGACUGAGAUUGUUCAGAAAGCUCCUCCAAAUCCCUUUGUACUGUAGCCUUUUUUUUAGUGGUCAGACAUUGAUCAACUUUCACUUUCUUUUCUUUUGGGAGACAUGUUUUACCUACAGACAAAGAAAAACAAAAAUUACAUUACAGUUGAUAUAUGCAUAGAUUUUAAAAAAUACAUUACAAACACCACGAAUACCGACACACCAACAGCCACCACCAUAAACACCACCAACCAAUGCCACCACCAGUGACACCACGACGACUACAAACAUCACCACCACCACCAACACCACCACCAUCCAACUAUACCAUGACAGUCAACGGAAUACUACGAUGGAAACUAGGGAUUUAUCGAGUUCUUCCUACGAUUUUACAAUCAAAACUCAAAAUUAUAAACCUAUUAUCUAAGAUAAUACAACUAAAAGUUUUAUUUUUCAUCAUUAACUUAAAAACCCUUAUUUUUAGAAAAAAAAUGAAUAUAGAUCUCUUCUCGAACUCUGUUGCCUACGAAUACAAAUAAAAUGACUGAUACAAGCGAGAAUGAAGUUGAAAAUAACAUAUAUGUGGUUGGAAAUGAGAAGAAAAGUGACCUAUUAUGGAGGGUUAAGCAAAUUUAUUGAGUAGUUGUUGUCUGUACUGUAUUGUUAAGUGAGAAUGAGAGAGAAAGAGCCAGACCUCGAGAUUUGAAAUGAUGAAAUAUUUUGUAUGGGUUGAUUUGUAUUUUGGAAAAGAAUGACAAGUAGUUUUGAAAAUAUUAAUUUAGUCUGAAAUGAUCUUAAUUACUUUUAAAAUCAUAAAAUAUAUGCGUAAUUUUUAACCCUCUCAUCAUGCAAUUUUCGAAAAGGUAAUUCAAUUGAAAUUGUAUAAAAAUAAUUGAAGUUGUAGUUGACCGAGAACUCUAGGAGGUGACCCUGAGAAAACUCACCCCUGGUCCUAGAUUAAUCAAUUUAGGUACUAUUAGUCGAACAUAUGAACUCAAUUAAAAUUGUAAAAAAAUAAAUGUUCAACAUGUUGCGUCAAAUUUCUCAUCUGUUGUAAAUUAUCAAUCAGAUUAGGUAACAACAGAUUACGAAUCUGAUGUAAAUUAUCAAACAGAUUAAGUCAUUUAUUGCUACAGAUUACCCAUCUAUUGUAAAUUAUCAAAUGAAUUGUCAUAUGUCGCAACAGAUUACCCAUAUGUUGUAAAUUAUCAAAUAGGCACUGCCAUCUGUUGUGGCUGACCCUAUGAGAACUCAUCCGUAGUCCUAGAUUAAUCGAUAGUUUACUCUAUGAGAACUCACCCCUAGUCCUAGAUUAUUCAAUUAAGGUAUUAGUACCCUAGUCCUAGAUUAAUCAAUUAAGGUAUUAGUCUAACAUAUGAGGUAGUAAGAAUCGAUUCAACUCAGAGAGAUCGAUCGAUGACUCUGGUCGGAGGAACGCAGUACCGUCUUAUCAUGAAAUUGCCAAAAGACUCAAUUAAAGUUGUAUUUGACCCUAUGAGAACUCAUUCAAUUAAGGUUUUAGUCUAACAUAUGAAGUGAUCGAUCGACGACUCUGUCGGGAGAAACGCAGUACCGUCUCAUUAUGCAAUUACCAAAAAACUCAAUUGAAGUUGUAGUUGACCUUAUGAGAACUCACCCCUAGUUCCAGACUAUUCAAUUAAGGUAUCAGUACCCAGUCCUAAAUUAAUCAAUUAAGGUAUUAGUCUAACAUAUGAGGUAGUAAGAAUCGAUUCGACUCAGAGUGAUCGAUCGCUGACUCUGGUCGGGAGAAACUCAGUACCAUCUCAUUAUGCAAGUGCCAAAAUGCUAAAUUGAAGUUGUAGUUGACCCUAUGAGAACUCACCCCUAGUCCCAGCCUAUUCAAUUAAGGUAUCAGUACCCAGUCCUAAAUUAAUCAAUUAAGGUAUUAGUCUAACAUAUGAGGUAGUAAGAAUCGAUUCGACUCAGAGUGAUCGAUCGCUGACUCUGGUCGGGAGAAACUCAGUACCAUCUCAUUAUGCAAGUGCCAAAAUGCUAAAUUGAAGUUGUAGUUGACCCUAUGAGAACUCACAUUCAAUUAAGGUAUUAGUCUAACAUAUGAACUCAAUUGAAUUAUAUAUAAACAAAUGUUCAACCUGUUGUAACAGAUGUCUUUUCAAUUGGAUCAAAUCAAACAGAUUAUGUAACCUGUUGUAAUAUAUUAUCCAUAUAUUGUAAACUAUCAAACAGAUCAAGUUAUUUGUUGCGACAGAUCACGAAUUUGUUGUAAACUAACAAACAGAUUAAGUCAUUUAUUGCGACAGAUUACCCAUCUAUUGUAAAUUAUCAAAUAGGCACUGUCAUCUAUUAUAGUUGGCAUUAUGAAAACUCACCCCUAGUCUUAUAUUAAUCAAUUAAGGUAUUAGUUGAACAUAUGAGAUAGUAAGAAUCGGUUUGGCUUAGAGUGAUCGAUCGACAAGUCUUGUCGGGAGGAACACAAUCCCGUCUUAUCAUGCAUUUGGCAAAAGACUUAAUUGAAGUUGUAUUUGACCCUAUGAGAACUCACCCCUAGUCUCAGAUUAUUCAAUUAAGGUAUUAAUUGAACAUACGAUGUAGUAAGAAUCGGUUCGUCUCAGAGUGAUUGAUCAAUGACUCUUGUUGGAAGGAAUGCAGUGUCGUCUCAUCAUGCAAUUACCAAAAAACUCAAUUGAAGUUGUAGUUGACCCUUUGUGCUCAUUCAUCCAUCCCUAAUUCCACCUAGAUCAAUAUAGGUAUUAUUAUUAAUCUUAACAUUAAGUUAAUGAGAACACAUUUCAACUCAGAGUGAUCGAUCGUCGACUCGGGUCGAGAUGAAUGUAAUGCUAACACCAUGCAAAUGCAAUGACUCAAUUGGAUUAGUAGUUGACCCUGUGAGCUCAUUUAUUCAUCCCUCGCUCUGCCUAGAUCAAUGUAGGUACUAUUAUUAAUCUUAAUAUUAAGUUAAUGAGGAGCUCAUUCUUUCAUCCCUAGUUCAUCCUAAAUUAAUUGCAAUGAAAUCUAUUAUAACAAAUAACUGAGUUAUUGGAGAAUUUCAAAUAGAUAACAAUAUCUGUUGCAACAUAUGACAUUUCUUAUUUAAUUAUCAAAUAGACAUUUGCAUCUAUUAUGACGGAUGACUGAGGUGUUGGAAAUUUUCAAACAGAUAUUGAUAUCUGUUAUAAUAGAUGACGUUUCUGAUUUAGUUAUCAAAUGACAUUUUUAUCUGUUGUCACAGAUGACUGAGCUGUUGGGAUUUCUAAAACAGAUAUCUAAAUUUGUUGCAACGGAAGACAAAUCUGUUUGAAAAUCUUUUUGUUUUCUUUUAAUUUUAAAGCAAACUAUUGUUCGAGUAGAUAAAGUAGUAGUACUAUUAAAGGCGGUAAAAAAAUGUUUCUUGGAUAACUAAAAAAUCUCAUUGAGUAGUCUUGUCCUGUCUUUUCAAUGUCACNNNNNNNNNNNNNNNNNNNNNNNNNNNNNNNNNNNNNNNNNNNNNNNNNNNNNNNNNNNNNNNNNNNNNNNNNNNNNNNNNNNNNNNNNNNNNNNNNNNNNNNNNNNNNNNNNNNNNNNNNNNNNNNNNNNNNNNNNNNNNNNNNNNNNNNNNNNNNNNNNNNNNNNNNNNNNNNNNNNNNNNNNNNNNNNNNNNNNNNNNNNNNNNNNNNNNNNNNNNNNNNNNNNNNNNNNNNNNNNNNNNNNNNNNNNNNNNNNNNNNNNNNNNNNNNNNNNNNNNNNNNNNNNNNNNNNNNNNNNNNNNNNNNNNNNNNNNNNNNNNNNNNNNNNNNNNNNNNNNNNNNNNNNNNNNNNNNNNNNNNNNNNNNNNNNNNNNNNNNNNNNNNNNNNNNNNNNGUAUGAUAUGAUUCACUAUUGCUCUUUCAUUCUUGUCUUCUUCUUGCAACUUUAUUUACAUCUUUUUAUUUAUUUAUUUAUUUUAAUUACCAUUUUCCCAUAUCAUAUUUAUUUAAAAAAAAUUGAAGGAACUUUUAAUUAUUGAAUAAACAUAACGAGAAUUUUUAUGAUAAAAUGCAAAAAAAGUCAUUUGUUGGGAGAAGUUUAAAAGCCUUGUGUGCAGUAUCAUUUUUUAUAUAUUUUAUUUGUUUCUUUGUUGUUGAUGCUGUUAUUGAUGUUGGUGGUGGUGUUAGCAUUGUUGGAACUUGUGGUGUGGUGGGGUUGGUGGGGUUGGCAUUGUUAGAACUUGUGGUGUGGUGUGGUUUAGACGGUGGGUGCUUUUUAACUUAAAAAUAGUGGAGUCCGAACAAUCAACACAAGGAGUAAGGGAGAAAAAAAUAAAAAGCUUAAAGUGAAUAAGAAGAGAAGAGUUGGUUACCAAAAUUUAAAAAAUAUGUGCUGAGUGGGAAUUGAACUCAAGACCAAAAGAAAUAAAUAGUCUUAACCAUACACAACUACUAGGCUAACCAAACAACUCUUACUAUGGGUGCUCACUGAUUAGAUUAUAUACAUUUUUUUCUUUAUUUGCACAUACAUAUAUAAAGUUCGAUAUGAGUUCAGUCUGUACAGGACUCUAUGUGGGUCCAUCCCUUAUUGUUGAUGGUGUUGGAACAUAGGAUGCAUGCUUCUUUGUUGUUGAUGAUGUUGUUGGAACAAAUGUUGUUGUUUUUUUUGUUGUUGAUAUUUUUUAUUUGUUGUUUGUAGUUUAUGCUGUUGUUGAUGUUGCAUCAGACCGAGCAACUAAUGGAGCAAAUCAAACCACCAGCAAGGCUGCUAUAUAUUCCAACAGACUCCAUAUCUGUUGCAUCAGACUCCAUAUCUGACGCAAUAGACUCCACAUCUGACGCAAACUAUCCGAGAUUUAUGUGUUGUGUGUGUUAGUGUUACUUAAAUAAAAUUGAUGACUUUAUUAAUAUGUAAAUUUAAAAAAAUGGAUCUAAAUACAAUAUUUUAUCUUUUUGUUGUAUUUUCGAAAGAGACAGAUUGGUAAUCUGUUGUAAAAUAUAUUCCACCUAUUAGAUAACUUACAACAUAUGGACAAUCUGUUGGAACAGAUGGAUAUAUCAGUUUGCUUUUCCAUCAGCUGUGGCGUCUGUUGGAAUUUGCUAGUCAUCUGUUUAUUCAAUUUCAUCGAGAGCAAUAGAUUUUUCUAAACACUUCUUGGCCAAACUCAAUUUUUGCACUUGGAUUGCGUCUCGUUUUUUCUUUCCAUCCUUCAAGCUGGCCUCCAAAUUCAAUUUUUGCCAUCAAUCCAAUAGCAAAAAUUUAGUUUGGUUGAAGGAUGCAAAGAAAAAAAGAGAAGCAAUCCAAGAGCAAAAAUUGAAUUUGGCCAAGAAGUGUUUAGAAAAAUUGAUUGCUCUUGAUGAAAUUGAAUAAAUAGAUAACUAGCAAGUUGCAACAGACCCACAGCUGAUGGAAAAGCAAAUCGAUAUAUCCAUCUGUUGCAACAGAUUGUCCAUAUGUUGUAAGUUAUCUGACAGGUGGAAUAUAUUUUGCAACAGAUUACCAAUCUUUCUCUUUCAGAAAUACAAAAAAAAUGUAUUUAGAUCCAUUUUUUUCUUCUAAUUUACUUAUUAAUAAAGUCACCAGUAUUAUUUAAGUAACACUAACACACACAACACAUAAAUCCCGGAUAGUUUCAGCAAUAUUACAUUAAAUUUCGAAUAGUUUGCUAAUUACAUCUUAUCCCGGAAUUUCAAAUUGUGAUACAUAUAUGGACUAGUGAUACAUAUGUAUAUGUAUCACUAGUAUAUACAUAUGUAUACAGUAGUGAUACAUAUAGCAUAUGUAUCACUAGUAAAUAUGAAUCCGGGAUUUUAUGUAAUUUUUUAAAACAUUAAGGAAUAUUGUGUAAUAUGGUGUCUUAAAUAUGGGAUUUAUGUAAUUUUUCCUUUUAAGGGAUAUGAACAGUCGUGGUUUGUUUGACUAAGUCCAGUCCCUUCCAAUUCUCAAUCAUUUUAUAAAUAGAUCCCUCCGGCCUCCUCACUCACUCUCGUUCAUUCUACUAUACUUGCAAUACUAAUAUGUCAGAUUCAGAUUCGUACAAGAAGGUUCAUAUCGAGUCCUUACAGGAACUUCAAAGGCAGUUUGAUAAACUCCAGAGGGAUUUGACCGACUUCUGAGCAAGGCUGAGGAGGGCCCUGCUGCUGCCGGAUGAAAUUGUCAGGUUGACAAUAAUAAUAGUAAUAAUAAUAAUAAUAAUAAUAAUAAUAAUAAUAAUAAUAAUAAUAAUAAUAAUAAUAAUUAGGUUAUGUUUUUUCUUUCUUUUAGCGUAUGUAUUUUCCUUUUUNNNNNNNNNNNNNNNNNNNNNNNNNNNNNNNNNNNNNNNNNNNNNNNNNNNNNNNNNNNNNNNNNNNNNNNNNNNNNNNNNNNNNNNNNNNNNNNNNNNNNNNNNNNNNNNNNNNNNNNNNNNNNNNNNNNNNNNNNNNNNNNNNNNNNNNNNNNNNNNNNNNNNNNNNNNNNNNNNNNNNNNNNNNNNNNNNNNNNNNNNNNNNNNNNNNNNNNNNNNNNNNNNNNNNNNNNNNNNNNNNNNNNNNNNNNNNNNNNNNNNNNNNNNNNNNNNNNNNNNNNNNNNNNNNNNNNNNNNNNNNNNNNNNNNNNNNNNNNNNNNNNNNNNNNNNNNNNNNNNNNNNNNNNNNNNNNNNNNNNNNNNNNNNNNNNNNNNNNNNNNNNNNNNNNNNNNNNNNNNNNNNNNNNNNNNNNNNNNNNNNNNNNNNNNNNNNNNNNNNNNNNNNNNNNNNNNNNNNNNNNNNNNNNNNNNNNNNNNNNNNNNNNNNNNNNNNNNNNNNNNNNNNNNNNNNNNNNNNNNNNNNNNNNNNNNNNNNNNNNNNNNNNNNNNNNNNNNNNNNNNNNNNNNNNNNNNNNNNNNNNNNNNNNNNNNNNNNNNNNNNNNNNNNNNNNNNNNNNNNNNNNNNNNNNNNNNNNNNNNNNNNNNNNNNNNNNNNNNNNNNNNNNNNNNNNNNNNNNNNNNNNNNNNNNNNNNNNNNNNNNNNNNNNNNNNNNNNNNNNNNNNNNNNNNNNNNNNNNNNNNNNNNNNNNNNNNNNNNNNNNNNNNNNNNNNNNNNNNNNNNNNNNNNNNNNNNNNNNNNNNNNNNNNNNNNNNNNNNNNNNNNNNNNNNNNNNNNNNNNNNNNNNNNNNNNNNNNNNNNNNNNNNNNNNNNNNNNNNNNNNNNNNNNNNNNNNNNNNNNNNNNNNNNNNNNNNNNNNNNNNNNNNNNNNNNNNNNNNNNNNNNNNNNNNNNNNNNNNNNNNNNNNNNNNNNNNNNNNNNNNNNNNNNNNNNNNNNNNNNNNNNNNNNNNNNNNNNNNNNNNNNNNNNNNNNNNNNNNNNNNNNNNNNNNNNNNNNNNNNNNNNNNNNNNNNNNNNNNNNNNNNNNNNNNNNNNNNNNNNNNNNNNNNNNNNNNNNNNNNNNNNNNNNNNNNNNNNNNNNNNNNNNNNNNNNNNNNNNNNNNNNNNNNNNNNNNNNNNNNNNNNNNNNNNNNNNNNNNNNNNNNNNNNNNNNNNNNNNNNNNNNNNNNNNNNNNNNNNNNNNNNNNNNNNNNNNNNNNNNNNNNNNNNNNNNNNNNNNNNNNNNNNNNNNNNNNNNNNNNNNNNNNNNNNNNNNNNNNNNNNNNNNNNNNNNNNNNNNNNNNNNNNNNNNNNNNNNNNNNNNNNNNNNNNNNNNNNNNNNNNNNNNNNNNNNNNNNNNNNNNNNNNNNNNNNNNNNNNNNNNNNNNNNNNNNNNNNNNNNNNNNNNNNNNNNNNNNNNNNNNNNNNNNNNNNNNNNNNNNNNNNNNNNNNNNNNNNNNNNNNNNNNNNNNNNNNNNNNNNNNNNNNNNNNNNNNNNNNNNNNNNNNNNNNNNNNNNNNNNNNNNNNNNNNNNNNNNNNNNNNNNNNNNNAAAGUCAUGACUUAUCACAAUAUUGAUUAAUUUAAUUAAGUCAUAACUUUUUACAGUAAUCAAGAAUGUCAUUAAUAAAUGGAGGUGAACAGUUGUGCCUUUAAAUCUGCUUUAUUAAUUUAUAUAAUUAAAAAGUCAGAAAAUUUAGAUAUCAUGAAGAUAAUAUAUUUUUUUUAAAUAUAUAUAUAUAUUAUAUGUUGCAAUAGAUAUAUUAUCUUAUGUAAUAGGUUAUCUAUUUGUUGCAAAUCAUGAUAUAUCUAUUGUAACAUAUGAUUUAUCUGAUGCAACAAAUAUAUUAUCUGUUGUCCAAAACAGUGUAAAAAAACAGUUCCUGGAAAGAGGUAAUUAUUAAUAAUAAUAAAGCUGAAAAGUCAUAACUUAUCAUAAUAUUGAUUAAUUUAAUUAAGUCAUAACUUUUUACAGUAAUCAAGAAUGUCAUUAAUAAAUGGAGGUNNNNNNNNNNNNNNNNNNNNNNNNNNNNNNNNNNNNNNNNNNNNNNNNNNNNNNNNNNNNNNNNNNNNNNNNNNNNNNNNNNNNNAUAUAUUAUAUGUUGCAACAGAUAUAUUAUCUGAUGCAACAGGUUAUCUAUUUGUUGCAAAUUAUGAUAUAUCUGUUGUAAUAGAUGAUUUAUCUGAUGCAACAAAUAUAUUAUCUGUUGUCUAAAACAGUGUAAAAAAAUAGUUCCUGGAAAGAGGUAAUUAUUAAUAAUAAUAAAGUUGAAAAGUCAUGACUUAUUAUAAUAUUAAUUAAUUUAAUUAAGUCAUAACUUUUUACAGUAAUCAAGAAUGUCAUUAAUAAAUAGAGGUGAACAGUUGUGCCUUUAAAUCUGUUUUAUUAAUUUAUAUAAUUAAAAAGUCAGAAAAUUUAGAUGUCAUGAAGAUAAUAUAUUUUCAAAAUAUAUAAUCGUGACAUAUCUGUUGUAACACAUGAUUUAUCUAAUGCAACAGAUAUAUUAUCUAUUAUCCAACUCGGUGUAAAAAAAAGGGUUCCUGGAAAGAACUAAUUAUUAAUAAUAAUAAAGCUGAAAAGUCAUGACUUAUCAUAAUAUUAAUUAAUUUAAUUAAGUCAUAACUUUUUAUAGUAAUCAANNNNNNNNNNNNNNNNNNNNNNNNNNNNNNNNNNNNNNNNNNNNNNNNNNNNNUAUAUAAUUAAAAAGUCAGAAAAUUUGGAUGUCACGAAGAUAAUAUAUUUUUUUAAAAAAUAUAUAUAUACUAUAUGUUGCAACAGAUAUAUUAUCUGAUGCAACAGGUUAUCUAUUUGUUGCAAAUUAUGAUAUAUCUGUUGUAAUAGAUGAUUUAUCUGAUGCAACAAAUAUAUUAUCUGUUGUCUAAAACAGUGUAAAAAAAUAGUUCCUGGAAAGAGGUAAUUAUUAAUAAUAAUAAAGUUGAAAAGUCAUGACUUAUUAUAAUAUUGAUUAAUUUAAUUAAGUCAUAACUUUUUACAGUAAUCAAGAAUGUCAUUAAUAAAUGGAGGUGAACAGUUGUGAUUUUUUGCCUAACUCAUUCAAGUUCAAUCCUCUAUAAAUAGGUCCCUCCUUACUCAAUCUUUCGUUCUACUACACACUAUUUAUUCCUCGCUCUUGUUACACCUUCAACUACUUUCUCUUCAAGGACUUGAUAGCUUUUUUCUGUCUCUGGUAAGUUUUUUUCUUAAUUUUUGUGUAAAUAUACGUUGUAUUACAUUACAUUCGAAUUCUUUCUUUUAUUUACUCUUGUGUUUACGUGUGUGUUUUGUCAACUUAUGCAUUUUUUAGAUAUGGCUGAUCCUGUGUGGGAUGUCGCUAUUUUACGAGACGCCAUGAGAGAACUGCAAAAAAAGGUUCAUGACCUGCAUUGGGAGUUGGCUGCCGUCAGAGUAAGGAUGCUGCAGGAGAUCCGCAGUCUCCGAAGGGCGCUGCUGUUGCCCUUUGAAGAUUGGUCGUCUGGCCAUACAAAUAAUAAUAAUGAUAAUAAUAAUUAAGUUUUUUUUUCUGUUAUCUAUGUGUUUUUUUUGUUUGCUUUAUAAAAAAUUAUGUUUGAUGCACAACUUUUUAUUUCUUAUUUAAUUUUCGUGUUGUCUAUUUCUAUUUCUUAGCGAAUGACAUGUCUACAAUUAAGGAAUAAUUUGACUCCAGUAUCAAUAGCAAGAACAUAUGAGUUAUCUGUUAGUUUAGUUUUUGUGUGUGACAGGAGCUGUCUUUGAAUUUUGUUGUUCGAAACAUAUUAGUAAUCUGAUGAAACAAAUUAUUUAUCUGUUGAAACAGAUUACUAAUCUGGUGCAACAGAAUACCCAUCUAUUCGAUUCAUAUUACGGGCACCUAAAACCCUUAAACAUGAAUCCAUCCAACAUGAGUCUACUGUUACAAUAGAACAUUUAUCUGUUGUAGCAGAUAGUGGAUCUGUUUAAACAGAUUGCUCUUGUAUUGCAUUCAUGUUCCCGUGCAAGCUAUCGUUGAAAAAACAACACACUAGCAGUUAUCCAAAUUCAACUAAAAAGCAUAAUCUGACUUACCAAAGUCUCCCCUCAAGUUAAUUCCAAAGUUGAAAGUGAUUUACGAAAUAAAAUUUGACAUAAGAAUUUGGUCAAAGAGCAGCAGUUGGGGUAACAGCAACAACAAGAACAAUGGUCAACAAGAAGAAUAUGAAGAUGAUAAUGAAGUAUAAGAUAAUGAUAAUGAAUCAGAAGAUGAUGAAUAAAGCAGCAGCAACAAUGAAUAACAAAUAUUGCGAAGAGAGAGAAAAUAACAAUGGAUGAGAAGAGAGAAAAAGACAUCUUUUGUUCCUUCGUUCCCCGUUAUAUAUUAACUAACAUUUGGAUCAAAGUGUAAAUUUAAAGUCUUGUGGGUUAUUUUCAAACUUCCUUAUCCAUAAUAAAGUAAUUGUCACCUCCACCUAAUAAUUAAGACUCGUGUCACCUACACCUCAUUUUAAAACUCUUUUGUCACUUGUGGCCCAAACCCCUAACUAACUUGGGGUGAUAAUUUAACAUUAUUUAUAAUUUCAGUUAUUUAGAAAAUAACAUGAGUAAAUGAUACUUCAAAACAUUAUUGUUAAAUAUAAUUAAUGAAAUAAUCUCAAUCAAUAGAAUAAUAUUUUAAAGAUGACUAACUUUAGGUGUAUGAAUAAUUUAUAUUUAUGAAUUUUAUAUUAAAAGAGAUUAAUAGAUAAGAAUAUCAAAUCAAGUAAUAAUUAAAUUAAAGUUAUAUUUUAAUUUCACAAUAUUAAGUAGCGGGUAAUGGAGUAGCUGUAAAUAAAAGAACACAAAGAAAGAGUUAAUAUAAAAUAAAAAGUAUAAGACCUAUCUAAACAUAGACAUUUAAAUACAGAAGACAGACGACUUAAAAUGUGAAUACAAUAUGUAUAAUAUGUGUCAGAGCACUAUUAUGAGAUUUAAAAAAAAAUUGUGUGAAUUUUAGGAGACUGUAAUCCAGAUAGAUGAAAUAGAACGUCCAGUAAAUAUGACAAUAAUUAUAAAUCAAUUAUAGCAGUGAAUUUAAAGAUGACUAAAACUUGAACAAUUUAAAUUCAAAGUAUUAAAGCAUUAUUUUACAGCGAGUACCCAUGUCAUAUGAUUACACAUAUUUUCUUAAAUUUGACACAUCCUUAUUUAUUUUCAACAAAAUGAACUUCAUUCCAAGGUGGAUGUAAUUCAAUUCAAAUAAAGUGAGAAGAAACUGGCAAUGAAAUUGUGAAUAGCUAGAACCAUGAUAUAUUUUGAAAUGGUGGUAUAAAAAAUGAUAUAAUUAUAAUAUUUAAUUUUAUCAAAAUGUUAUUUGAUGAUUGUGCAUAUGUAUUAAUAUUUUAUUAAGUGUAUAUUAUUAAAUACACUUCAUUAAAAAGUAAGAUACAAUUAUAAUUUAAUUAAACCAAAAUGAUGUUAUAUGUUCAAACUAUUAAUAUAUUUUAAUUUCGCACAUCGCUCGGGUAUGUAUACUAGUAUAUAUAAAAGCAAAACAAAAUCAAGACAAGAUGCCACGUGUCAAGCUAUUAAAAUAGCCACGUGGCAAUUUUUAAGAUAACGUUAAAAGAUAUAGUAAUAAAAUUUUUGAAUUGAAAGAUUAAAUAUUUAAAUUUAAAAUACAUCAUCCUUAUUUAAAAAAAAAUAUAUAAAUCAUUAUCUUAAAAGUAGAAAUUCAUAUGUGAAGAGUCCUAAUAGACAUUUAAUAUUUCAAACUUAUCCAUUUUAAAAUUUAAAUGUUACAUCAAAUAUUUGAAUACAUGUGAUUUAAUACUUAAUAGAAUUACCUACUCUAAUUUUAAUUAUAUGAUUAUGAUUUUAAAAAAGGCAAAUUCUAAAUAAUUAGAAAAUUAAAAAUCAGCUUAACCAAUUUGAAAUAUUAUUGAAAUUUAAAAUUAGAAUUCUAACUAUUUCAUAAUAAUCUAUAAACAAAUAAUAGUAAAAGUAAUAGUAGUACAUACAUGGUGUUAGUAAAGAUAGUAAAAAAAUAGUAAUAAUUAAAAAAAAAAAGUUAAAAAAAAAAAAAAGAAUAGCAGUCGCAUUACGUAUGGUAGAAGUAUUAAUUGUGGUAGUAGUAACAAUAUCAUUAUUGUUAUUGUUAAUAAUCCCUUACCUCCAAUAUUUCACUAAUAAAAAUUAUUUUAAAAUUUAAAUUGAAAAUAAGUUGUUUGAUUGGUUCCUUUUUUUAUAGCAUAUUUUUCUCUUUAUUAACAACUAGAAGUUUUUGUUCCUCUUUUUUAUAUUUAUAUUUAUCCAAAUUAAUAUCCCAAUUAGUGUACUGAUCUUCUUAUGAAAUUUGAAUUCAAACAAACUUUGAGUUGGAAUUGAUUUCUAACUUCUUAACAUCUCUAUAUAUAUUCCUACAAUGAUAUAUAAUAUUAACCUUCCUUCUUCUUCUAUGUUAAUGAUCAUUAAUUUUAUUCAUGAAUUUAUUUAUUACAUUCUUCAUAUUCUUUAUUUUUUAGAAAUUUAAAAUUUUUAUUUUUUAUUUACAAAUGAUUGAUGGUGCUAUUACAGAUUAAUUUAUUUUCACUAUACAAGUAAGUAAUAUUUUUCUGUUCGUUUGAUUUCUGAUAAAAAUAAAUUUAUAUACGUAAAUGAAAAAUAAAUUAACCUUUAAUUGAGAAGUUAAGUUGAUUCUUUUUAAAUGCUAACUUUUGUUAUUACUUUUAUAUAAUUUGUAUUUAAAAAAUAGAUGCUCAUAUUAAUUUAUGUGUUUUCAUUUUUUGUGAUAAGUUAAUUAUUUAAUAUGAUGUUACGAGAUUUUAUAGUGAUUUCGAAAGUUAAAUAUUGUGGGUUCAAGUUUGAAAUUCCACACCAACCAUUUAAUUUAUUAGGUUUAGAUUUAUUAUUUUUAAAUAUUCAGUGAAUUGUUUAACAUAUAUACACAAUUUAAGUCAAUGUUAUAUAAUUAUUUGCUAAUUAUUUUUUUAAUUAAAAGGUAUAUCUUCAAUGAUUUUUUAUCAUCUAAACAUGCGAAUCAAUUUUAAAAACUAGAUAAAAUUUAAGUUGUGAUAGAUAUUUCUUUCUAUUUCAAUUUGAGAUGAGAAUGUUUUGAUGAUAAGAAAGGCAAUCCUAUAGAUAACAUUACAUAUUUAUUUAAAUUUUUAAUAUAUAAAGAAAAAAAAUUGUGAUAACUAAAAUACAAGCAACGAUUCAAUUUUUUAUAAUGAUAGUUUCUUAUGUUGAUAGUAUUUUAAUUAAACAAAUAAAAUAUUAAAUCACCAUAAAUCUUAAAUGUUAUAGCUUAUAAUAUAAUUAAAUAUUAUGUGCAUAGUUACAUAUUAAAAUUAUUUCUCCUAUAAUAAAUUUAAGAUUUUCAUUUUCAUUUAAAAUUCAUUUUUAGAAUAAUAUCCAAGAAUAUCAUUAUGGAAAUCCUUUGAUUCUUAGGAUGAGUUAAAAAAAAAAAUCUGAGAAAAAAAAAAGUAAAUAGAAUAUGAGAUGAAAUUAUAGUUUGAUAGAUGUAAAAGUAUUUAACUUAGAAUUUUAAAUUAUAACCACUCAUAACUGAUUAGAUUAUUUGAGGCUUCUUUUAAUCUGUAUUUUAUUAUUUUGGCAUAACAAAGCUUAUAUAUUCUAAUUUAUAUAUAUAAUAAAGUAAUGAGAUAAUACACAUAUUACUACUAUUCAUAAAUUUUAAAUGAGAAAUGAGGACAACAGAAUAAAAAAUUAUAUGACAAUCUGAAAUCCUUAGGUUGUAAACAAUUUAAUAAAAAAAAUAUGAAACAUUCUUUUUUUUUUUAAUUACAUAAUUAUUUUUACGCAUAUAGAUUUGAUUUAAGGGAGNNNNNNNNNNNNNNNNNNNNNNNNNNNNNNNNNNNNNNNNNGGGGGGCGGAGGAAGGUGGAGGUGGGAAGUUGUGGGUGGGUGGUGGGGGUCGAUAUAUAUAGACAUAUAUAAAAUUCGAUAAAUACUUAAUACCAAACGGUAUUAAUAUUUUUACCAAACCCAGUCUCGAAUAUCGAAAUAUUAAAGUUUUACUCCCAAAUACCAUAUUAAAUACCGAAUUAUCGAAUACCAAUUAUCAAUUUUUUUUAUUCGAUUUGAUAAUUUGGUUUUCGGUAUUUUAUGCCUAGCCCUAAUGGCGACACAUAAAAUGGAAUGGAGAGAGUAUGAUUUAACUUGCUCGAAAGAGAUAUUUUAAUGUGAAACUAUUAUAAAUAAUAUUUAAUAUUAUUCGUGUAUCGCAUGGGUACGUAUACUUGUACUUUUAAUAUUGAUUUCUGGCCUAUCGAAAGGAAUGCCCAAUGUUGCCUACUAAUUCUCAAAAUUGAGAAAACACAACAGCUUUUCGCAAUAGUUAGUCUCUAGCUACAGCAAUACUUUAUUAAUAAUGACCAAGUUUUUUUGAAACAAAAUUUUCGUAUUAUAUUACAUAUUCUGUAUAAUAAUAUUUCGCUAAAAAUACGAUUACAAUGAAAUUUGACUGGGUGCCAAAGUUGUUGCUCCAGUGGUUAACUCUUUUAAGGUGAAUCAAAUUUAUGAAAAUUGAAAGCUUACUAGAAAUGGAAAAUUAAUUAACCAUUACGUAUUAGUAAACUUACUCCUUUGGUUUAACUCAUUAAUCUGUAAUUUAAAAUUAAAGGAUAGUUAUUUGAGGGGCAUUUACUAAUUUUAAAUGUUUAAUGGGAAAAAAUUCAGAUAUAAAUAAAAAUGAGUGGUUAACAGAUUUGAGGUGGUAUACCAUCGUCUAUCCCAUUCAACCAAAAUACGAAGUUUUAUUACAUUUUUGCAAAACAUAAUGAAUUAGAUUAAUCAAAAUCGAUUUGGAUAUAAGAGAGGAAGAGGAGUUGAUCUACGUUUAGCUAUUAUUGAAUGCAUAGUUUUAUCUCAUUAAAUAAUACUAUAUUAAUUCGAAUAUAAACAACAAUGUAAUCUUUCCGUCCAUCAAUAGUCGUCAACUAUUGACUUGACACAUAAAUUAAUUUUACCAUAUCACGAUUUAAAUAUAAUUAAUUUAAUUCAGUGAGAAAUGCAUUGCAUAAUGACUGUAAUUAAUAACUACAGGUAAAUGAGUAAACUAUUCAUUAGUUUUACCAAUUAGACAAAUAUUAUUAGAUAUCUAUUUUCAGUAUAGUGGAUAAGUAAAAAUAAACGGAAGAAGUAACGAUUAAUUUGGAUAUCUAUUUUUUCCGGCAAAGUUUUAUUUUUUUCGGCAAAACUCCAUUUUUUCCAGCAAACUAAUGGCAGAAGAGAAUUAAGAAUAAGAUCGAACUAAGAAUAAAAAAUUCAAAUCGAAUUCAAAGAUAAAUUCAAAAUUAAGAACAAAAAAAGAGAAGAAAUAGAAAAAAUGGGAGGUAAAUUGGCAAAGUUCCAUUUUUUCCGGUAAACUAUCCGGCAAAGUUUCAUUUUUUUCGGCAAAUUAAUGGCGGAAAAGAAUUAAGAAUAAGAAAAUGAGGAAGAAGAGUGGGAAAGAAAAUGAAGAGGGGGUGGGGGAGCCUUUUUUUAAAAAAAGUUUUAUUUUAUUAAAAAAAAUUUAGGCCCUCAGUGCCACUUGGCACGUUUUCAUUCGUUAUUUAUUCAAAAAAAACGUGUCUCAGGCACCACUAUUGAGUGGACAACACGCGGAGUGCCACAUAGGCAAAAAAAACCUGAUUGGAUCAAAUGCGGGUGGGUUAGGGGUGUGAUAGGUACAAGCCUUAGUUGAGGGGUCUAAGUGAACUUUCGGGACAACUUUAGAUGUCUGGCGAUGACUUAAGCCGAUACUUCAAAUACAUCCUUUAUUAAUGACAUUGUCCUUACUUUUUGACAGAAGGAUAUGUCAAAGCACAAAGUCAACUAAGGCUGUCAUGUGGGCUGGGCUGGGCCAAUUCGAAAUUGGUCCGUUUGAAUUAACCGGGUUGUGGGCCGAGGUCGGGUUGGGGUAUAAGUGGGUCAGGCCGGCCUCAACAGUAAAAAAAUUUAAAACAACCCUAACCCGGCCCACUUAACCCAACCCGGCCAAACCCACCUAAACCAGGUUAAAAACAAGGUCAAACCCGGUCAAAAAUAUUUUAAAGAAAACUUUUUUUCAAUAUACAUUAUAUAUACCCACCUAUAUACAUUAUAAAUACGUUAAACAAUAUAUAUACACUAUAUAUAUAGUAUAUACUACAUUAGAAUUUAAAAAAUAUAUACACAUAUACACAAUUACACAUAUAUACGCAUCAUUCAAUAUAUAUGGACUACUUUAAAGUUUAAAUAAAAUAUACUACAAUAUAUAUACAUUGCAAUANNNNNNNNNNNNNNNNNNNNNNNNNNNNNNNNNNNNNNNNNNNNNNNNNNNNNNNNNNNNNNNNNNNNNNNNNNNNNNNNNNNNNNNNNNNNNNNNNNNNNNNNNNNNNNNNNNNNNNNNNNNNNNNNNNNNNNNNNNNNNNNNNNNNNNNNNNNNNNNNNNNNNNNNNNNNNNNNNNNNNNNNNNNNNNNNNNNNNNNNNNNNNNNNNNNNNNNNNNNNNNNNNNNNNNNNNNNNNNNNNNNNNNNNNNNNNNNNNNNNNNNNNNNNNAUAUAGUUAUAUACUAAUUUAUAAAACAUAUACACAUGUAUACGUUAAAUAUACACGUCUAUAUAAGAUAUAAACACAAAUAUAAAAAACAUAUGCUACUUAAUAUAAUAAAUUAAUAAUACUUGGUAGUAAAUUAAUAAUAUAUUAGAAGUAAGUUUUAAAUUUAAAGUAGAAAACUAGAAAUUCAAUUUAAAUUUUAAAAUCAUUAAAUGAAAAAAUAUAAAAAGUAAGGACUAAGGAGUGAAUGAAUUUGAGAAAUUUUAUUGAUUGAAAAAUGAUCCUAAAUUUAUAAUUUACAUGAAUGAAAAAUCUACAAAUUAUGCAUCAUUUUUUCCAACUCAUUUAUGUUAAUAUUAACGGGAACUUGAAUAAGAUAGUCGAAGUCAACGGGGGCAAAACCAUGCAUUGGACUUGAUUCAGCUAAGUUAUUCCGUGAAGACAUAAUUUCUUCAAGUUUUAGCUCGUCGCUCGGCUUCAAUUCCAUUCCUUGGUUCCUUCUUUCCGCUCUAAUCCAAUCUAUGAGGCAAACUAGAACAUUCAUUGCAUUGCUUUCCAAUGAGUGUCGGUUGUCUCCAAACUGCUAUCGUCCCUGAUUAAAGGCGCUCUCUGAUGCAAUGGUUGACAUUGGAGCAUUUAAGAUAUCUCUAGCUAAUCUUGAAAGCACAGGAUAUUGUGUUUCAUUACUCCUCCACCAAUCCAACGUGUUGAUCCGUCGUCUGUGAUCCUCUGACGGCGACCGAAGAUAAUAUUUCAACUCUUCCUGAUAAGUUGAUGUGUAAGCUCUCUUAUUAACACUGUUCCAACAAGUUAAAUCAUAAAAGGAAUAAAAAAACCACUAUGUGUCGGCCUUUUAGAAGAUGAUGACUUCUCGCGAGGAUGAGGAACGACGGUUGGAGUGAUAUUUGUAGGUACGGCUAAAUCAAAUAAACCAGCAUACUGAUUAUAUAAUUUUUCUAUGUAUUCAUUUGCAUCACUCAUAGCCGUCCACAAAUCAGGUUGUACUUGUUCAGAAUCAUUGUUAAUUUUUAUUUCUAAGUUAGUAAAAAUAAUAGUACUAAAGUGGCACAUAUUAUUAUAUUUCAUGUACGGAUUUAGCAUAUCACCAACCAAGUAAAUAGGGGAAAUCGGGAAAAAAUAUUUUUUAAAUUUGGUAAACAUGGCACCAACAGCUUCUUUAUAAUAUUCUUUAUUUUUAUAUUCUUUGAGUAAACCAGAAAUAUCGGCUAUAUAUGCCAAAAUAUUAUAAACAGUAGGAUAAUAAGCACCGAAAAAUUCAACCGUAGCUACAUAAAUUUUUUCUAAAAACUUAACAAGAUCAUUAAUUACAACCCAAUCAGAAUCAUGUAGCAUGCAAUCANNNNNNNNNNNNNNNNNNNNNNNNNNNNNNNNNNNNNNNNNNNNNNNNNNNNNNNNNNNNNNNNNNNNNNNCUAAUUCUUGAUCUACGAUUAUUUCCUUGAAUAAAACCAACAGCAAGACGAAUUUUUUCAAUAUAAAGCUCAAAAAACUCAAAACCAUCUUUUACAAUUAAAUUAUAUAUAUGACAUGCACAUUUAAUAUGAAAACAUUCAGGCAACAACGGAGAUAGCGUAGAUUUUAGUUUUUUUAUAACAGUCUUGUUGUUAGAAGCAUUAUCAAAAGCAAUACAUAAAAUUUUAUUUUCGAUACCAUAAUAUCCGGCAACUUUAACAAUAGAAUCAGCAAUAAAAUGUCCAGUAUGUUUACGAUCUUCAUCAUAUAAAAAAGUAAAAUCUCGUUUUUGCAUCACGAUAAAUAAAAAUAAUAUUGUGAAUGAAGUCUAAAAAUAUCAGACUGACAAGUACUUCUAGGAAUACCGUUAAACAUAGGAUUAUAAAUUGUUUGUAUAUAAUGAAUAAAGGCAUCAGAAGAAGGAAAACUAAAAGGCAAACAACCCACAACUGUCAUUUUAGUUAUUUCUUCUCGGUCCCUCAAUUUAUUAUACUUCUUCAUUACCUGACCGGUUGCGGGGUUCAUUCUAGUUUGUGUUGGCCCACCAACAUCCCCACCACCUCGUGCAAUAUUUAACUCUCUUUCGUGAGCUUCACCUAUAUGUCUCAUUAACGUACCCGUACCCCCUUGCUUGCCUCCGCUUCUAUGCUUAUAUAUUUGUUGACAAAUAUUGUAUUGCACCUUAGUAUCUGAUAUACAUUCAAAAAAUUUCCAUGCAACACUAGUUGUUUUACGAGGUAUUGGGGCACGGGGAGGACGGGGAGAGAAAUUAAUCGAUUCAGAUCUAACGUUAGCAUUUCCUACUGCGGAUGUCUCACCAAUAUUUUCAUUAUCUUCGUCUAAAUUAACAGUAUGUACUUCAUUUUCUUCUUCUAUACCAUAAUUUUCUUGAGCUUCUACAUAAUCCAUAUCAUGAGCACCUACACCUAUUUCUUCCUCAAAAAGUGUACCAAGCGGUACUGGAGGCGAAGGCACAUGGAUAUAUCUACUACUUGAACUACGUCUACCGCCAGUAAUUCACUUUUUACUACCAUUACCGCUUUCGGGACAAAAAAUUUUAACACCUUUAGUAACGAAGUUUCUUAAUUUAUCCAUAGUAUAAAUUAAAUUAAACCAAAAAAAUUCAAAAUACACAAAUAUAAUAAAAUUAAAUAUUAAAAAAUUAAUAAAUAAAUAAAAAUUAAACGUAAGAGAUGGAACGACAAUACCAAAUUUUAAAAGUAUCCGAAGGUUGUGAUUUUAGAAACUUCCGCUCUUACUUUGUAAACGCAAAAUUAAAAAAUUAAAGUGAAAACUUUAAGAAACUAAAUAUAUUGAAUAUUUGAAAAUCGAGAAUUGAGAUUUGAGAGAGAAUGAGAUUUGAGAAAAUGAAAAAUUAUGUGAAAAAUGAUUUGAAGGUGUAGGGUAUUUAUAGAAUUUUUUCGGGGAUUAAAAAAUAAUUUUUAAAGUAAUUUUUUAUUUAUUUAAGAAAUGGGCUCAAACUAGCCGUUUGGACCCAAAAACGGCUAUAUAGCCGUUGGGCCAACGGUUAGUUUGGCCCAAAACCCAAAAAUAAAAAAACAAAAAAAAAAUCCGGGCCGAUUUAACCAGGCUCAAAUUAAAAAAAUAACCAACCCCAGAUCCGGUACCCUAAAGCCCUAAGGCUUAGCGGGCCGGUUCCUUUAAGUGGGCCGGUUCGAGCCGAUUCAACCCGGCCCACUUGACAGGCUUAAAGUCAACUAAUCUAUCUCAAUUCCAAAGUCCUUCGCAUAUCUUCUCUUAAAAAUCAAUCAGCUAUUAAGAAAAUAUUUUUUUAAAUUUAAUUAGAUGAGUUCAUUUGGUCAUGAAAUUCAUUUUUUAAUUAUUUUAAUUUAAUAAAAAAUAGAGAAAAGUAGUUAAGACAUUCUUAAAUUUGUCUACCCAAUUUACUUUUGACCUUUAACUUUGCAGACAAUUAUUUAUCCCUUAACAACUUUAUAGUGAAUUAAUUUCAACCCUUGAGACUGACGUGGCAUAAAAUAAAAAGAGAAUAAAAUAAAGGCGCGUUUCUAACCUAAAAAAACAUAAAAAUGGUCCACCAAUUUAUUUAUUUUACGGAAAUGGCUCAAAAAUACCCCUUUGUUAAAUAUUUGACUAAAAAAUACCCCUCCCCUUAACGAAAUUCCACCAAGCAUGCCACCUAGAUGAAAAAACUACGUGACUAUGCCACAUUACCAUCCACAUGUAAAAUGUUAGUAUUUUUUAAUUAUAUGACAUUUCUUUCUUCUUUAUUUUUAUUUAAAAAGGUCAGUAAAACCGACAAAAUUUACAUGACUUUUCAUUUUUAAUCAAAGUAGACAAACGGUGGUUACAUAAUAUUUUUUUUAAAAAAAAAUUAUUAAAUGUAACAUCGCUAUUACCAAAUUCCUUUGAUCAUCUAAAAAAUAAGUUUUUUCCUGUUAAUAGGUUUAAAAGAGUGAAACCCAACAAAAGAGUCUUAUUAAACUGAUAAAUCCAUUAAUUAUUAGGCCAGUAUAAAAGUUAAAAUUAAGAUUUACUCCUAAAAGUAACACAUUGCAAACUAAACUUCAAAUUAGUUACUCAAAAGAUGUGUUUGGCUUUGCUAGCUUUUACUCAAAAUGCUUAUGUUAAAAUGAUUUAAUAAAUACCUCCUCUAAUCUAAAAUUAAUGAAUCUUUGAAUGUGGUACACAUCUUCAAAAAGUUAAUGAAUGACAUAGUUAAAUAAUAAUUUAUCAAUAUUAAGUAUCAUUUUACUUCUUUUCAAACUUGUUCUAAAAAUAUUCAUCAAAACUAAAUUUAGAAAAAUGAAUUCAUUUCGAAUGAUUAAACAAGUGUUAAAAGGAAUCCAUUUAUUUUGAAAAAGAAUUUGCAUGUAGUAACUUCAACUCAAUUAUUAGUACAUCAACAUUUCCUAGCUUAAAAGUUAAAAUUCUAGCUCCUCCUCCGAGUUAACAUCAGAUCAAGAUCAAGAUGUCCCUUAUCCCAAACGACAAUAACAAGAUGAAAUUUAGAACUUUUAAAACACUAAUGAAAAGGUGAAAUCUAGAACUUUUAAAACACUAAUGAAGUAAUUAGCAAAAGAUUGGUUUUUUAUUUUUUCUGUUUCACUGCUUUGCAAAAAAAUAAAAAUAAAAAUAAAAAUAAAGAAGAAAGGAAUGUCAUAUAAUUAAAAAAUAUUAAUAUCUUACAUGUGGAUGGUAAUGUGGCAUAGUCACGUGGUUUUUUUUAUAUCUAGGUGGCAUGCUUGGUGGAAUUUCGUUAAAUGAAGGGGUAUUUUUGAGCCAUUUUAGAUAGUUCAGGGGUAUUUUUUAUCCUUUUCCGAAUUCCGUUAGAGGGAGGGGUAUUUUUGAACCAAAUAUUUAACGAAAGGGUAUUUUUGAGCCAAAAAUCUAACGAGGGGCAUUUUUGAGCUAUUUCAGAUAGUUCAAGGGUAUUUUUGAACCUUUUUCGUUUAUUUUAUAAUAAAAACUAAAAAAAUAUCCCUACCCCACCCCUUUCUUCUUCAAUUCCCCUUUCCUCUUAAUCCUAAUCAAAUUAAGAUUCUUUGUUAAAUAACCUUUUCAAGUCUUCUUUUUAAUUAAAUAGACUACAAGUUUUUUUCUUUUUUAGGGAAAUGACCCACUUUUGAAAAUUUUAAUUUAUUUGUGAUUUAAAAAUUAUUUACAAGUUUUAAAUGUUGUAAAUUAGUCCACACAUCACCAACUUACAGAAUUUAAAUAAAAUCCCUCCCACCAAAUCUUUGACACAUUUACAAAUUAAUUCAAAACCUGAUUUACGAUGGACAGAUCUAUUAUCGAUCCGACCGAUAUAUGGACAUAUCAAUUAUCAAUCCGACAGAUCGAUUAUCGAUCCGACCUAUAUUUGGACAGAUUGAUUAUCAAUCCGACAGAUUGAUUAUCGAUCUGACUUAUAUAAGGAUAGAUCGAUUAUCAAUCCGACAGAUUGAUUAUCAAUCCAACCUAUAUAUGGACAGGUCGAUUAUUGAUCCGAUCGAUUACAUACAUAUACACAAACCUUUUUUUUUUUUGAAAAAAAAAAGGACUAAAUUAAAGGAGAGCAGAAAACUUACAAAUUUAGGAGGACACAAAACAUUUAGGAAUAAAAUACUAGAUUCAAAAAAGAAAUUUGAAGAAACAAUGAAUUUUUAGUAAGAAUGGAGGAGAAAAAAGUCCGAGAGAGGGAAAAAAAAAGUAAUUUGAAAUUGAAAAGUUGAAGAAACAAUGAGUUUUUAGUAAGAAUGAAGGAGAAAAAAAGUUAGGAAAAGGGAAAAAAGUAAUUUGAAAUUGAAAAAAUGAGUUAGAAUUUUAUGUUUUAAGUAUAUUUAUAAAUACCUCCCAUAGUUUUUAAUAUGUCAUUGUAUUCCAACUCUUCCUUAAAGUUAUUUUUUUAUUUUGUUUUAAAAUGAGAAAAUAGAAGUAGGCCAUUUUGCUAAUUGGAAACUUGAAAAGACUUAUAGCCAAAUUUUCUCAAUCAAAUUCACUCCAUUUUUCUUUCUUCAAUCUCCCAGUCACCUUUCUUCCUCUUCUAACCCACAACCCUCAUCUGCAGUUUUAGUAUUGAAAGACUUUCAGAAGUGGAUUGCUUCCUUUCUCGGCGAAUUCAUUGUUUUAGAGAUAACAAUUUGGUUUAUCAUAUAUAAAAUAUAAGUUCUCUAUGCAAUUUCACUUUAUGUAGAUUCAAGAUUACAUUUGUUUUGAAAGUUGAUUGCUCUUUUUUUUUUGGUGAAUUUAUUAUUUUACAGAUACCCAUUUGGUUUACCAUAAGUAAAAUAUAAGUUCUCUAUGUAAUUCCACUUCUGUGAAUUCAAGAUUGUAUUUAUUUUAAAAGUUGAUUGCUUUUUUUUUUUUUUGGUGAAUUCAUUGUUUUAGAGAUACUUAUUUGGUUUACCAUGAGUAAAAUAUAAGUUCUUUCUGUAAUUUCACUUUUCGUGAGUUCAAAAUUGCAUUUGUUUUGAAAGUUGAUUGUUUUUUUUAUUGGUGAAUUUAUUGUUUAAGAGAUACCCAUUUGGUUUUUUAGACAUAAAAAGUGGGUCUUUGCGUAAUUUUACAUUCAGGAAGUUCAAAGAUUGUAUUUCUUCUGGAAGUUGAUUGCAUUAUCAUCAAGAAGCUGAACUUCAUUUCUUUUGAAAAUUGAUAUUUUUUGUUCGAAAAAAAUUGAAUUAUAAGUUGAUUUUUUUUUUUUUUUGAGUUUUUGGAUUGUAGAAGGAGUAAGGGGAUUAGAAAAAAAUAGAGGUUUUGCACAAGAAGAAGG
rnacentral:lncRNA from 1 species